rnacentral:lncRNA from 1 species
UUCUUGUAGAAUAAUUCUGGAGCCAUAUAUCCUUCUGUUCCCCCUUUGACGGUAAGAGAUGCAAUGCUCCCCUUGGUUGGAUAAAAUUUUGCCAGCCCAAAAUCAGAAAUCUUUGGAAUGAAAUUUUCAUCUAGUAGAAUGUUGUCAGGUUUGAUAUCGAAAUGAAGGAUUUGCAUAUCACACCCUCGAUGUAGAUAUUCAAUACCAUAAGCCACUCCAAGAGAUAUCUCAAAUAAUUUUUCCCAACUUAUCGAAAUGGAUCCUUCAAGAUCAAUAUAUUUUCUAAGAGAUCCUUUAGACAUGAAUUCAUAUACGAGAGCUUGUUUUGAUGUCUCGGCACAAAAACCAAUUAGUUGAACCACAUUAACAUGAUGAAUCUUCCCGAGAGUAGCAACUUCAUUGAUAAAAUCUUGUACAUUAGCUUUAGAUUUAUCCAAUAUCUUUACUGCACUAAACUGGCCACUACGGAGCUUUCCUUUAUAUACAGAACCAAAGCCUCCUUCUCCUAACUUUUCUUUCAAACCUCCGGUGAUUUUCUUAAUUUGUGAGUAGGAAUAUCUUACCGGCAUAAGGUUAUUGUGACUCUGUAGGAAUUCUUCGAUUGUGUUAUAUUCUGACAUAUGUUUCCUUCGCCACUUGAAUAUAAGAAAAGCAAUUACACAUGGAAGUCCUAGUAAAGCUCUUACAAACCAAAAAAUUCCUGCAUGAAAUUUUGGAAAGCAUUGAAGAGAGACAAAUUCUUUAGUUGCUUUAAUUUGUUGGCAAAAAAAUGCAGGCGUUACUUAGCUAUUUUUGAAAGAAAGUAGUUCUUGUUUCUUACCAAUAUCAGUGAAUAUCGUUGAGUACUCAGCUGCAGAAAAUGUACAGAAAAUUAAUGAGUGUUUAUAUUCUUAAAAAUAAAUAAAUAAUUAAUUAGUUAAGUUAAAUACAUAAUUUAGUCUCUACAUUUACAAAAAGUUAGUUAAUAACCUAAUCUUUUUAUUAUUAACUUUUAAUACAAUAGUAUAAUUAUUUAAUACAUAAAUUUUAUAAAAUAUAGCUAUUCAACUCUUAUACGCUUAAAUAGUUUACAUAUGCUUUUAUUACAUGCUUACAUGACUUACAUACGCCUUGAAUUUUUAAGAGAGAUAUUUUACGAAUUAAAUUUAAAGAUUAAAUAAUAUAAAAAUCAAUUAUCAAAAGUUAACAGAAAAAAAUCAUAGUGUUAAUUGAUUUUUUAAGUAAACUUUACGCGGUAAAUUAUAUAAUCUCCACUUAAUUACAAUUACAUGAAUGGGGAGAAAACUUACAUUCGAUUGUUUCGAUGAUCAAACUGAUUCCAUAUAUAAAUUCAUUGAAGAGUGUACAUAUACCUAUAUGAAAAUCAAUACAAAACUAUGAGUCAAUAGAAAAUAAUAAAAUAAUUACAAUGAAUCCAAUUAUGUGAUCGGCUAUGAAAAAUAAAUGAAUAUAAAUUAUGAGAUUAUAGCUACUUAUAAAAUUGGGAAAAAACUAUCCAUAAAUAUAAUAUUUAAAGAUAAAUAGUAAUUUAAUUUUUUUAAAAAAAACUAAUGGUAAAACUGAUUGAUAUAAGUAUAUGAGAGAAGUAAAAGUGAGAUAAGACUGUUUAUUUGGGAAAAAUAAUUUAUAUUUUAAAAAUAUUUUUUAAAAAUUAUUUUUUAAAUUUUAAUUUUUUUAAAAAAAUAUAUUGACACGUCUAUGUAUAAAAUUGUUAACAAAACUUUUAAAAUGCAGAAAUAUUUUUUUUUUAAAGAGAAAUUUCUUUUGAAUACUCAAAUGCUAGAAAAUUUUAAAAAUGUAAAAAUUAUUUUUCUAAAAAGAUAUUUUGUUGUGCAAAAUAUAUAGACUAAAUUAUUAUUAGUAAUAAAUUAUAGGGACUAAAUAUUAGAUUUUUUAAAUAGUAACCACUUACCACUGAUGCGGUUAUCAACGUCCAGGAAGAUUACCGAGCUGUUGCUGUGCCAGUAAAGCUGAAACCCGAAAGCAAGUCGCCUGUGAAUUUCAACGCAGGAUAUAUUAUUCUUGUUUUCCAAGCCCAAUUCAUGUGGAAUCAAAGAUAUCAUCUCCAAGCUGCACAAAUCCAUCAAAUCAGAUAUCCAAUUCGAUUCAUCUAUAAUCAUCGCAUAAGUAUGCAUCUUCAAGGCAGAUCCUCCAUUGAUGCAAGCAGAAUAGUCCAAGUAAGAUGGAGAGUGAACUGGACUUGGGCACUUGAUGAAACAAAUCAUACGCGUUAAAUCGGAAACCAAGUAUCCAUGAUUUCCCAAAAUUAAGUUGUCGAAAGUAAAAGGAAAACGAGGAAUGGAGGAACAAUCAUAUUGAUUGACGCCGGCAUCCACCAGUCGGAUAGUGAAGUUAUCGUAGUUGAUGGCCUGAACAUAGUAUUUUCCUCCGAAUAGACUCAACACUGUCAGAUUAUUUUCACAAGCAAGCUCAUAAUUGUGGUCUCCGCAAUUUUUUGGAUCAGUAUGUAAUCGAAAAGGGUAACUAAUGUUAUGGAUAUUUCCACAUGAAGAAGCUGCACACUGAUCAUUUAUUUCUGUAGAAUUGCAGGUUGUUUGGGAGAUAAGCAGGAAAAGAAAGAUAAGACUUUCUAUGAUCAUGGGAGAGCAGAGAGAUGGAUACACCAUGUGUUUGUUUUCCUGCUUCAGAGAAAGAGAAAUAUUUCUGUUCUCAAUUGGCUUCCCAUACAUGGACCAAGCAAGAAGGUGUAGUGGGCAUUUAAAAAAAAAAGAUUAUUUAUUUCAAAAAUUGUAUACUACGCUCUGUACAUACUCUCUAAUAAUUAAGGCUCAAAUAUUUACAAUAAAUGUAAAGAAAAAGAAAAAAAGUUUUUUUUUUUUUAAAUAANNNNNNNNNAAAAAAAAAAAAAAAAAAAAAAUAAAUAAACAAUACAUGAUGGUUCCACUAAGUUGGUUUGUAGUGUAUAUUGUAAAGAGAGAGUGAGAAGAAGAAUUUAGAAAGCAAUGAUGAGUAAUUCAAAUGAAAUGGUGGUAUGCUUGUUCCUCUUGCCGUCCAUUUUAUUCCUAGCACAGCAUGGAGCAGGCCUUGAUCAUCAGUGCAGUACAUCGACAUGUGGGAUACAAGGCCCACCUGUCCGAUUUCCGUUCCGAAUCAAAGGGAGACAACCACCCCACUGUAGCUAUCCUGAAGUUGGGUUUGAUCUGCGGUGCUCGGAGAAGAACCAUACAGUUAUGGAGUUGCCAAAUUCAUGGAAGCUCUUGGUGCAAACAAUUGAUUACAAGUCUCAAGUGAUUUAUGCAAGUGAUUUUGAUAGAGUUUGUCUUCCAAAACGGCUUCUUCUUAGUUCCAAUCUCUCUGAUAUUUAUCCUUUCAGGUUGAUGGAUUACAUUUUUAGUUUUACCUUAUUUAAUUGUUCUUCAAAGAAAGGACAUUCGCUCCAGCCAAUCACUUGCCUAAGUAGUCUUCAUCAUUAUGUUUAUGCCAUUACUUCGCAAUCUUCUAUUCAAGACUUAGUGCUGCUGCUGUCUUGCUCCAAGCUACAAAACAUUUCAGUGGCUUCAGAAUAUAGUCUCUAUUCUCAGGAAAAUGUUCUUCAAUUCAGUUGGUACUAUCCGGAAUGUAGUUAUUGUGAAGAAAAAGGCAAGUACUGCAGAUUGAAGGGAUCUGAAACUGAAUGCUACGGCAUCAUCAAACCAGCUAAAGGUACGUUGUUUUCUGUUCAUCUAUCUCUUAAUACUCAUCCAACCUUUGGAUCCAUGUAGUGCCAAAACUGAAAAAGCUCUGUUCUUUUUGCAGGGUCAGCAACAAAGUUCAUAACAACAGGUUGCGUAUAUUGUAUUUUGAAUUUUGUAUUUAUUUCUAUGAUUAUGUGGAAGAUGGGUGUUGUUAUCUAGGGAUGUUUUAUACAUACAGGUGCAGUUCUGGGUUCAAUUUUUCUUGUAGUAGCAGCGAUUCUACUCUACCGCAGGUAUAGGUUCAAUAGAACAGAAAGAGAAUAUCAGUCCAAGAUUGAAAAAUUUUUGGAGGACUACAAAGCUUUUAAGCCUACUAGAUAUUCCUAUGCCGACAUUAAGAGGAUGACGAACAAGUUCNNNNNNNNNNNNNNNNNNNNNNNNNNNNNNNNNNNNNNNNNNNNNNNNNNNNNNNNNNNNNNNNNNNNNNNNNNNNNNNNNNNNNNNNNNNNNNNNNNNNNNNNNNNNNNNNNNNNNNNNNNNNNNNNNNNNNNNNNNNNNNNNNNNNNNNNNNNNNNNNNNNNNNNNNNNNNNNNNNNNNNNNNNNNNNNNNNNNNNNNNNNNNNNNNNNNNNNNNNNNNNNNNNNNNNNNNNNNNNNNNNNNNNNNNNNNNNNNNNNNNNNNNNNNNNNNNNNNNNNNNNNNNNNNNNNNNNNNNNNNNNNNNNNNNNNNNNNNNNNNNNNNNNNNNNNNNNNNNNNNNNNNNNNNNNNNNNNNNNNNNNNNNNNNNNNNNNNNNNNNNNNNNNNNNNNNNNNNNNNNNNNNNNNNNNNNNNNNNNNNNNNNNNNNNNNNNNNNNNNNNNNNNNNNNNNNNNNNNNNNNNNNNNNNNNNNNNNNNNNNNNNNNNNNNNNNNNNNNNNNNNNNNNNNNNNNNNNNNNNNNNNNNNNNNNNNNNNNNNNNNNNNNNNNNNNNNNNNNNNNNNNNNNNNNNNNNNNNNNNNNNNNNNNNNNNNNNNNNNNNNNUGAGGAAAACGAUGAGCAAAUAUACUUCCCAAAAUGGAUUUAUAAUCUUUUGGAAAGAGGAGAAGACCUCAGAUUUGAGAUUGAGGAAGAGGGAGAUACUAAAAUUGCAAAGAAACUUGCAAUUGUGGGACUGCAAUGCAUUCAGUGGAACCCAGCAGAUCGACCCUCCAUGAAUGUUGUAGUUCGUAUAUUGGAAGGGGACGGAGAUAAUCUACCAAUACCUCCUAAUCCUUUUUGGUCUGCAGUUCCUGCAAGAAUGAAUUCAAAAAAAUCUCAAAGACGGCUUCAUCAAGAAUUGGAUGUCAUAUCAGAAACGGAGUAAUUAGAAAUCAAUGUGAUCUAUAAUUUGUUAAAAUGUCUUAACUUUUUAACAAUAUAUUAGUUAGUUAUUCCAUUAAUUUUAGACAUCAAAUGUUUUACUAUUUAAUUUUUGUAAUUUUAAAUAUUAAAUAUUUUAUUAUUUAAUAUUUAUAAUUUAGAAAAAUUAAUUAAUUAGUGCCUCAUAUUUAUAAAAAAUCUAUUAAUUAAUCAUUCUGUUUGGAGGACAUUUUAAAUAUUUUUAUAGUAUUUAAUAAUUAAAAUUAAUUGAUGGACCAAUUAAUAAAUUUUUUAAAAUAACAUGAAUAUUUUAAUAUAUUUUUUAAAAUAGAAAAACUAAUAUUAUAAAUAUUAUAUUAAUUCAUAAUAUGAGAGCUAAAUAAUGCAUUUAUCUAAAUAAUGAUGUAUUCAAUACUUGUUUUUGAUUUAGUAAUUUAUGAGCAAUAAUUGUAAGUAAUUAUGUUAUCAUCAUAAAAAUCUUUAUAAAUUUCUUUGUUAUUGCAAUUGAAUAGUGACAUAGGGCUAAUUAGUAACACAAAAUUUAUAUCGAUAAUUAUUUAUUGCAAAUGAUGUAUAAAUAAAACUAAUUAAAAAGGACAAAGGGGUUAUGUGCUCAAUUAUUUAUUCUCCAAUAAGGGAAUUAUGUAUUAAAAAAAAAAAAGUUCAUCAUAAAAGACAAGGGUUAUGUGUCCCUAACAAUAAUGGUGAAUAAAUAAUUAAAAUAAAAUCUUGAUUGUUAACUUAGAAGAUGCCAUGGGAAAUCAUUCUACAUUCAGUGCUGAACAAAGUAAAAGUUAGAUUAAAAAAUUUGUUAGUGCAAUUCAGCAGGUAUCAAUAAUUUAUAAAUUAUUUAGGGCUUACCCUUUCUUUUCACUAUAAAAGAUAUAGGCAGAUAAGGAUCUAAUUCUUUAUAUCAUGUUAUUAUUAUCAUUUAAAGUUAAGAGCAACUGAUUUGCUAUAUAAUAGAAAGUAUUAUUUCAUAGAAGUGAAUAUUUCAAAAUAAAUAAAUAAAUAAAAAUUUAAACUUCAAAUUUCAUAUAUUUUUUUACAUUUUAAAGUGAGAAAAAACAACUCAUAAUAAUAAAAUUAUUAUUUUUUUUAUUAUCUUUAUUUUAAUUUUAAUAAUUCAUUAUCCCUGUUAUUUAACACUAACAAUAGCUUUCCAGCAGUUAUUAUAUAGGGAAUUAGAGGAAUUCAACCUAAAAUAUUUUAGGUUUACUUUAGUGAGAGCUUUACCUUAAUGGGUUCUUAAAGUAAAGCAAAUGCACAAUAAUUGAAGCUAAGGCUUUAAUAAAGCAUUGAAGAAAGUAGAUAUAUAAUUAUUAUCUAAGAAAUCAAUUAAAGAUAGAAUCGAAUGUAUCAUUUGAAUAAGUUGCUUUAAGAAAAAUAUUAAAUUAAAUUAAAUAAAUAAUUUAAAUUGUAAAGAGACAUUGUUCCUUCAUCCUUUGAGUAAAAUUAAUAUCAUUAUAAAUAAUUGUUGCAAAAUUAAUUUUAUUUCUAAUAAAAUUGAAGCAUAUACCAUUCAAUUAGAAAUUGCAAAAGGGUAUUGUAAAGUUCCAAAAAAUUUACAUUUCCAUGUACUUUAGUUUGAGAAAUUUAAUUUAGAUUAUUAACGUCUUAGUAUUUAUUUUAAUUAUUUAAAAAAAUUACUUUUAUCUUCAUGAGAUAUAUCAAAGUUAAUACAUAUCUCCAUUUAUUUUUAAAAUUCAAUAAUUUAAUCUCUACUGUAUAAGACUGUAAUUGAAAAUCUCCCCAUAUUAUAUAUAUAUUUUUUUCAAUUUGAUAAAGUUAAAAAAUAAAAAUUCAAUGAUUAAAUACUAUUAUUGUGAGAAAUUCAGCUUGGUCGAACAAGUCUAUAAUAAGUGGAAUUGGGUUUAAAAUUAUGUUAUUUUUUAUUAUUUAAAUUAAUUUAAGAGUUUUCUUAAUUCUACUUGUAUUUAACUUCACUUAAUUAAAAUUUUAUUUUACAAUUAAAAUAAAAUUUUAUUUCAAUGUGAAAAUAAAAUUUAUAAUUUUAAAACAUAUAAUUUAUGCUUUAAAUCAAGAAAUUUAAAUUUUUAUGAUUACAUUUUUUAAUAUAUUAAUUUAAUAAAAUAUAGUUUCAUCUAUGCUGAAAAUUUUAUUUGUGUUGUAUAUACAUUUUCUAUAUUUAAAAUUGAAAAUUUUAAAAAUAAAAAUGAUUUAACGCUUUUAAAUAAUAUUUAAUAUAGUAAACUUUAAUAUUUAUAAAUUGCUAAAUAUGCCGAUUAUAUAAUUAUAAUCGUUUAUAAAAAUUAAGUAUUUAAAUAAAUAAAUAAAAAUUAUAUAACUCUAAUAUUAAAGUAUUAAAAAAUCAAUGUUGUAAAACUCAUAAUUAAGUUUUAUCCACUUAUUUAUUUAACUUUAAUAUCAACAUGCCACCAUGAGUUACUAGAAAAUCUAUUUGGAACUAAUUUCAAUUUGUUUGUAGCGUCUCUUUAAAGAAUUUUCCUAGCUAGAACUCAUUGAUGCAAUAAGUUUCUAAAAAAUUUCUUAAAUUAAUUUUAGAGGUUAGUUUCUAAAAUUAACAAUUAUAUAUAUGAAAUUUAAAAUUUCAAUUCAAGUUUCAUUUUCUCUUCCAUAAACGGUCAAUUAUAAGAGCCUAAAAUUUAUUCUAGAGUUACUUUAUUAUUUCAAAUAGUAUGUUUAAUUAAUAUUCAGCCUUGCUCAAAAUUACAAAUUCUAUAUUUCGAUUAGAACAGAAUUCAAUGUUUGUGGGUAAAUAUAUUUCUGGACAUGCAUUCUAAUACUUUAGUCUGGAUGUUUUAAUUAUUAAAUUAACAUAAGUGAUCCUUGAAAAAGGGAUCAGAUAUUUAUUACAUCGAAAAACUUUGAAAAAAAAUUAUUUGUGAGAAAUCUAUUAUUAAGUAUUAUUAGUUAGAUUCAAUGAUUGGAUUCUUUUGAAAUACAAUAAUAAACAUUCAAAUAAUAAGUUAUUUAUUGAUAAAUAUUAUUAAAUUUACAAUAUAUGUUAUUUUCACAUAUAUUUUAUACAAAUUUUAUUGUGCAAAUGAAUUUAAAAGUAAGAGGUAUAAAAAUAUACUUAUCAAAGAAGGAACAAGAUUAAGGCUAUACAUAGAGAAAACUAUGAUGCAAGAUAGCCUAUGGGUAUAAAUUUAUAUCAUCUAAUUACCAUUCAACAAGGCUCCGUGCAGGAAAAACUAUAUGUAAGAUAGUCUAUGAGCAUAAAUCUAUAUUGUAUAAUUAGCGCUCAAUAAGACUAUGCACAAAAAAAAAAAAAAAAAAAGAAACGAUGCAAGAUAAUCUCUAGGCAUAAAUCUACAUUAUCUAGUCAGUGCUUGAUAACAAGACUAAGGUCUCGCAUAGAAAAAACUAUGAUGCAAGAUAGUCCACAGGCGUAAACGUAUAGCCUAGUUAGUGCUCAACAAGGCUCAAUACAAAAACACUAUGAUGCAAGAUAAUCUGCGGAUAUAAAUCUAUAUCAUUUAGUUAGUGCUCGACAAUAGAGCUAAGAUUUGUGCAGAAAACUACGAUGCAAGAUAGCCUAUAGGCAUAAUAAAUCUACCUCGUCUAGUUAAUACUCAACAAGUCUCCAGUACAAAAAAAAAAACUACAGUGCAAGAUGACCUAUGGGCAUAAAUCUGCAUUGUGUAGCUUGUGGACAACCUCANNNNNNNNNNNNAAAAAAAAAAAAAAAAAGAAAUAAGACUAACUACUUCAAGUCAUUACAUAAAAAUUCAUGCUUGAAUUAGGGAGUAUCAUCAUCAUAUGGCUCAAUAAAACAUAAAACUAACAGGUCUAAAAGAGCAUAAUGGAAGAGCUCAAUAUUAUAGGGAAGACCAUUAAGUCUUACAAAAAUGAAAUAGAAGGUCUAGGGUCUAAAAGAGUCUAAUGUAAUGGCUCAAAUUAAAAAAAAAAGAAAAGGAUAAAUUACACUUAAGUUUUUGAAUUUUAGUAUAAUUAAUUGAUCAGUCCCUAUAUUUUUAAAACCGAACACUUAAAUCCCUGAGUUUUCAAUUUAUCAACCUUAAAGUCCUUCCGUCCAUAAUUUUGUCAACUCUCUAUUAAUUGAAUAUGAAAUGACGAAAAUACUAUUUUAUUUUCUUCUUCCUUAUUCUGUUACCAUCAGCAAUGAUCACUUCAUCAUUCUAAAACCAACAAUAUCAGUAAUAGUGAUUAAAAUCUAAACUCACAUCCACCUAAAUAAUUCUUUAUUUUCACCUGCAUAAACUAUGUUAACCUCUUGCAACCACACAAACUCACAUAGCCACUACAUCAUCAAAUCUCACAACAGCCCUCUACUAUCUACUCCGAGAGCGAUUUGAGAACCACAAUUAUGGGAAAAAUAUGAGAGAUUUAAGCAAGAUUGCAAUCACCAUCCAAUGAUAGAGACCAAUAACUGAGCAAAAAAAAAUAAAGAAAAUGAACAUCCAAACUGCUUCCCUGCCAUGCCCACACAUUAAGGAAGCCAAUUCACAAUCCACAAUCCUUUAUGCAACAACUUACCAUUGGCAAAUUAAAAGAGUGAGGAUUUCAUUGAUUGGUCCAGCAAAGAUGUUUCUAUAGACUCCAUGGAAGGGUAAGAUUGAUAAUUUGUGAAAUUUGAUGGGUGAAGGAGGACAAGUUGCGCAUGGAGAGUUAUAGAGAUGAAGAGAUUGUGAUUAAAAUUUUUGGCAUCAAGGAGGAAAAGUCGCUUCACUUCCUUUUCUAAAAGUGAGAGUUUGUGAUUAAAAAAUUAAGCUUCCAUUGUUGGUAGUAGGUGAGCAUCACAAGACUAGAAGAAUAAUUAUGCAGAGAGAGGAGAUAACAAGGGAAAAAGAGAGAGGUGAGAGAUGGAUUUAGGGUAACUAUGGGAAGAAAAAAUGCAUUUUAUGGUGUAAUAAGAGUAUUGUGGGAACAAAAAAUAAUGUUCAAAGAUUUGACCAACCAUUUACCUUUGAACUAAUGGAGAAAUGGAUGAAGGGACUGUGCAUUUAGACAAAAUAAUAAUAAAGGAAUUUAAGUACUCGAUUUUAAAAAUAUAGGGAUUGAUUCGUUAAUUAUAGGAUAACUUAGGGACUAAAGUGUAAUUAAUCCUAAAAAGGGAAAAGAAAAAGAAUAGAAGACCUCAAAGUUGAAGGUCUCAAGAAGAAAUGCCCUAAAGAAUGUCUUAGAAAGGGAAAACCACUAACUAUAAAUGGCAGACCACUAAGGUCAGACCAAAAUGGUAAAGCAUUAACUUGGAAGUCUAGAAUGGUAGACCACUAACUCGAAAGGGCAGAACAUUAAGGUUAGGUCCAAAAGGCAGGCUAGAAGGGCAAGUCAAGUCGGAAGGGUAGAAAGCUAAGUGUAUGUUGCAAGGGUACACCACUAAGGUCAGAUUGGAAGGGCGGACUACUAAUGUCAUAUAGGAAGGAAAGACCACUGAGGUCAGCUCCCAAGGUAAGGCCUCCUAAGAAAGGCCUUCUAAAUGAAAGACCACCAAUGUAAGACCUCCAAAAGUAAGACCUUUUGAAGGGAAGACCACUAAAAAUAAGAACUUCCAAAUGUAAGACCUCUCAAGAUAAGACCUCCUAAGGUAAGGUCUUCUAAAUGGAAGACCGCAAAGGUAAAACCUUCCUAAGAUAAGACCUCCUAAGAUGAGGUCUUUCAAAAGAAAGACUUCCAAGAUAAACCCUUUAAAUUUAAGAAAUCUAAAAGUAAGACCUUCAAAAAUAAGGGCAAAAUAAUUCACUGGAAUUCUCACUUUUUAUAAGUAUAGAGUCUACUUCCUUAGUCCGAUCUAUAUUUAAUCGUCUAAUUCAACUGAUUGAAUUAGAGAGUGGAGGCAUCUAAUAACAUAUAAAGAUUAUAAAAUUAUUUUAAUUAAGAAAUGGACCCUGCCUAAGAAUAUGUUAUAGAGUAUUCUUGCACUUCUCCAAAAAGAGUACUUGAUAAGAUAAGAGAGAGGCACCUCUUUCUUUUAGCAAAGACCUUGAAAAAGGCUCCUCCUCUCUUCUUCUUCUCUGUUCGUCUUUUCUUUUCCCUUCUCUUCCUUGCAUCUUCUACUAUGAAAAUUUUGACUCUGAAUUUUCAGAUCUGACUUGAGAGUUUUCACCGAGGAUUCCCAGUAGACUCCUAAUCUUUUUUUCUCUAUUUUGUAGACCCCAAUUUCAAGAUCACGUGUUUUGGGACCCAUUUAAGAAAAUAAGAGAAAAAAUCAUCAUCAAGAAUAGAAAGACUUGUUUUACCUUUUUCAAAAUGCGUGCAUGAUUUCUUUAGUAAUAAUAAUAUUAUUGGUAAUGUUUCUACCUAGAGCAAAAUUAUUUUAAUUCUCAUCUAUAACACAAGGAAAAAUUCUUUUAUGUCUGUUAGCCAAAACCUUUAUCAAUAUUUUGUACAUCACACUACACUAUAAAUAAAAAAUCUACAAUUCUAGUAGGAUUGCUCACUUUGGGAAUUAGAGUUAGUAGAGUACCAAAUAUGUGCUAACAUCACCUUGAAUAUCAGAUUUAGUGAAGACUAAAUUAUAAAUUUUAACUAUGUCGUUGCUAGUUAAGCCUUCUUAUUAGGCAUUGCUACUUAUGUCCAAAACAACGAUAAGGUAAUACGCUUUGAUCAUUCAAUUUAUUGGAUGCUUUGGAACUCUAUAUUACGAUAUGUGUUUAUCUUAAUUUUUUAUGCAUAAUUUUAGAAUUAUGAAAUUUUCAUAUUCAAAUUUGUAUUAUAUCAAAUGCUAUAAAAAAAAACUUAUAUAAUCAGCCCUUAAAAAUUAAAUUAUAUACAAAAUGUUUAAAUACAUUUUUAUAUCUCUAAACUUCAUUUGGAAAAAAAAAAUCUUCAUAGUAUAUUAAAAUGUAAAAGUGUUAUAUAUAGUAACCUAAUAUAAAUUGGUUCAGUAUUAGUAGACCCAGAUUUGAACCUCAAUCUCCUAAUAAAAAAGUUAUACACAAUAUAAAAAUUUUGUAAUAAAAACUUUAUAAAUUCUGUACAUUCAAAAAAACUUCUCCUGGAUUCAAAGUGAUCUAAGAAUAUUUUAGAAAAUUCACAUUACUUGGUAAUAGGAUCAAAAGAUUAAUUCCACUUUUAGAUAGUUCAAAUAUGUUUUAAAACAUGUUUAAAGUUCAAAAUGAUACAAUUUGUUUUAACAAAGUUUAAAGGUGCAAAAAUAUAUGCCAUUUAUAUAAAGUUAUAUUAAUUUUUAUUAAAAAAUUAUAUUAUAUAUAAAAAAAAUAUCUGCUAUUUCAAAUUUAUAUUAUUUGUUCCUCCAAAAUACAUCAAAUUAAUAUUUUUUAAAAAAUUUUAGUAUUUGGUUAAUCUCUCAGUUUAAAAUUAUAUUAAAACAUUUAUGAAAUUUUAAAAAAUUUAUUAAUUAGUCAUUUUAUAAGUUUUAGUUACUAACAUUUUACUAUUCUUAGUAUCUAUGAUUUAAAAAAAUUUAUUAUUUAGUCUCUCAAUUUUGUAAAAAGUCUAUUAUUAAUUCUAUGUAUUGAUGGUAUUUUAAUUUUUUUUAAAUACUUAAUAAUUAAAAUUAAUAAAAAGAUUAAUUAGUAGAUUUUUUAAAAUAUUAAAUGUGUAUUUUAAUAUAUUUUUAAAAAUUAAAAAAAUUAAUUUUUCUAUACUAAAAUUUAAAUAGUAAUUUUUUCUUUAAAAAACAAAUCACGAGCUAUUUGCAUAUUAAUCAACUUAAAAAAUUAUAUCAAUUGUAAUUAAAAAAUUUUAUCAGCUCCUAUUAAAGAUCAUCAUGUUGCGUAUUAACAAACUUCAAUAUAUAUAUAAUUUAAAAAUUAUAAAUAAUUUAUUUAUCAAUUUGUUUCAUAAUUUCAUAUUAAAUAGUUUACAUAUUUAUAUUAUUAUGGAGGAAAAAAUAUAUUAAAAAUUUCAAAUGCAAUUUUAUGAGAAAUGCUAUUAAAUUAUGGAGGAAAAUGAAAAAAAAAAUUCUUUAAUUUUAUCGAUUUUUCAUUUCAAGAUAUUUGUACUUUAAUUUUUAUAUUUCGAUAUCAUAUUAUUAGUAAAUAAUGACGAUUUUCAAAUGUCAUAAGAAAAUAUUGAUGAGACAAGCAAAUAAUGAAGUACUAUUUAGAUAAAAUUAGACUAUAAAAGCUAAAAUAAAAAUAAGUAAAAUUUUACAUUAUUUUAGCACUUCUUAAAAAUUAUUAAACAAAUAUUAAUUUACGAUUAUAUUUUGCUUCCCACUUUAUUAAUUUUUAACUAUAUGAGAAAAUUGUGUUAUUUACUGACGACGACGGAUAUUAUCAGUGGCGAAAAAUAAAAAAUUUAACUUAGAAAAUCUAAUUUAACUUAAAAAAUUCAAUUUAAAUAAGUGAUUAGAGAAAAUAAAACAUAUGAAAUAAAUAUAUAUAGAAGAUUAUAAUCUUAUUGAUGGCAGUAAAUUAUAUUCUUAUCAUUUGCAAUAAGUAAGCAUUCUAACAGUUAUUCAUAUAUGUGUAUAUAUGUAUGUCUUUGAUUUUUGAAAUUUUAUCCACCUUUGAAAUUUUAGUGGCUAUAUAUUCUUCUUACGAACAAAACAUUAUUCAAAUUAAAUCUAAAUCUAAAUCGCAUAUCACUAAUAUAAAUAAUUAUAUAGUAAAAUAUUAACCAUUGUGUAUAUAAUAAUUAUAUACAAAAAUUUCUAAGAACAUAAAUAUAAUCGCUAUAGGUAUAACGAUCAAAUAUUAACCAAUAAUUUUGAUAGGACCUAUAAGGGAUCUACCAUGAUUAAGGACUUGGAUUACAGGUUAAGGAGCAAUAUCCACAAAGAAAAAUCAAACUCAACAAAUACCGAAGCAAAAUGCAAAUGCAUUAUUAUGCAUUAUUAUACAUUAAACCCAACAAGUUAAACAUAUAGAAUUAUUACAACAUAUCAUCAAGUCAUCACUAACUCUAUAGAGCAACUUAUAAAGGUAAAAGAAGUUUCAGAACAUUUUACCAUCUCUUUCAACCAAGCAAUAUUAUAUAUCUAUUUUACUUCACUUGACGUUGAUGAUGAUUCUCCUUCAUCUAUAGUCAUUGAUUCUACAGGAUAUAGAACAGGCCUUGGGGGCAAUUUUAGGCUUUUGAGAUCUCCUUCAAGCAUGUCUAGUACUUUGUUCAUUGAAGGACGAUUAGAAGGUUGCAUCUGUAUACACCAUAAUCCUGUUAUAAUCAUUUUCCUAGCUAAUAUAUUCUCCUCCUCUGAUGAGUCUUCUAUUAUUAACUUUCCACUUGAGAGUUGGUCAUAAACCCAGAAUGGAUAGUAAACUUGACUCAAAUUUUCUGCCAAUGCAUUUAGGUUUUUCCUUUUUCCUGCGAUUUCCAACAACAACAUUCCAAAACUGUAUACAUCUACUUUAUGUGAAACACGCCCAAUAUUUUUGUAGAACAACUCUGGUGCCAUGUAUCCAAUUGUUCCCCUUGCAGCUGUAAGAGAUGCAAUGCUUCCCUUAGUUGGAUAAAGCUUAGCUAACCCAAAAUCAGAAAUUUUUGGAGUGAAAUUUUCAUCAAGAAGAAUGUUAUGAGGCUUGAUAUCAAAAUGAAGGAUUUGCAUAUUGCAACCUUGAUGUAGAUACUCAAUGCCUCAUGCCACUCCAAGAGAUAUUUCAUAUAACUUUUCCCAAUUCAAAGAAAUAGGUCUUUCUUGACAAAAAAUAUAAUUAUCAAGAGACCCAUUAGACAUAAAUUCGUAUACAAGAGCAUGCUUUGAUCCCUCAACGCAAAAACCAAUUAAUUUUACUAUGUUGGUAUGGUGGAUCCUUCCAAUUGUAGCAACCUCAUUGAUAAAAUCUUGUCCAUUAGCUUUAGAUUUACCCAACAUCUUUAUUGCUGCAAAUUUACCACUACGAAGUUUUCCUUUAUGCACAAAACCAAAGCCUCCUUCACCCAACUUUUCCUUGAAACCUCUAGUGAUCUUUCGAAUGUCUGAAUAAGAAUACCUUAUUGGCAUAAGGUUAUUGUGACUCUGGAGGAAUUCUUCAAUUGUUUCAUACCCAGAUAGAUGCCUUCUUCUCCAUUUAUAAAUAAGAAAUGCAAUCACACAUGGAGCCCCACAGAAAGCUCUUGCAACCAAACACAUUGCUGGAUAUAAUUAUGGGAUCAUAUUCAACAAAGAGAAACUAAUUAAUUAGUUAUUGGUUUAAAAUUUUGUCUAAGAAAUAUAAGAGAUAUGCUUCUAAAAACGUAAGAUAAAGUUAGCUAAGUUUCAUAUGUUGCAGAUUUUCAUGGUGUCUCUUCAUAUAAAUAGGUAACUUUGUCCCCUCAUAGAUUAAUGGAAGGAGUUCUUACCAAGACAAAUAACUGUGUUUCCAAGUAACCCUGUAUGAAGUGAAUGUAGAGAAAUUUAAUUACUAAUGUUGCUGCCCUUAAAUCAAGUAACAAUUAUUUAAACAUGAUUACAUAUUAUAUGAUCGGAGACAGAGAUCUUACAUAGGAUCAUAUCCAAGAAGUUAUCGUUCCCUUCAUUAAUUAAGAGGAAAACAAAUCAGUAUCAUACAUAUAUCUUAUUGAUUGCAUCAGAUAUAUAAUCAUAGAAAUAUAAUAUUUAUUCAAAUGCAAUAUUGAGUAAUAACUACUUACUAACUCUUCUAGUUUCUUUCCAUGAACAUUUUGUGCGUAUAUAUAUAUAUAAAACAAUAUGAUAUCUGAAAAUUAUAUUAUUGAUUCAAUUAAUUUGAAUUCACGCUGAAUAUGCUCAUUAAAAAGAUAAAACACUUGGAUUUAAAAGUUUUCUGUAUGCAAGACUCAAACUCGAAAUUUUUUAUUGAUUUCAUUUCUCAAAAUUUUUUAUUGAGGAAAAAAAAUGAAAUGAGAUUUCAUUUCUAUUUUGUGUUUAAAGGAAAAAAAUGAUAGAAAUAUUCUAUCGAAUAAAUAUAGGUCUCUUGUACUAAAAAAAAUAAACAAAAUACUUGAAUUAAAAUUAUUAACAAAUAAAUAAAGACUUAAUUAGCCUGUAAUUGAAUUUACUUACACUUUAAAUUAAUUUUAUUAGAAUAAAGUUAAAAUAUUGAGAAGCUAUUGCCGACUCAGUCUAGUAUUGCUUAACCUGGAGGACAACAAUUCUACAAAUAGUUGGAAAGACAAGAAAAUUUUGUCAUCCUGUAACAAAAUAAUAAUAUUUGCAGCACCUAAAUUCCACACUAUGCAUUUAAAUUUUCAGUAUUAAUUAGAUUUUCAAAAUUUUAAGGUCAUCUUUAUUAGAAAAGAUAUUUUCCAGUGCUGAAUUUUUCUAAAGCUUCAAACAUAAUAAAAUAUGAAAAAUAUUUUAUAUUUUUGUAUUAUAGAUAUAAUUAGAAUGGCGGAGAAAGAAUAUAUUAUUAAGAAAAGGAAAAAGACUAUCAGAGUAAUUUAUUAAUCAAAUAAAUUUGUGUGUGAAAGUAAACAAUUAUUAAUGAUAAAAUGGAUGAAAGCAUUACUUACACCGGUACAUGCAUCGUAACCGUUUUCUGCUGUCCAGAUAGCAACCACCAUCACAUUGUCCACAGUGGAUGUUGUGCCAGGAAAGCUGAAACCCAAAUGCAAGUUGCCUGUGAAUUUCAAGAAACGACAUGUUCUUCUUUGCCGGAAAUAAUGGAAACAAACUAAGCAUCUCCACGCUGCACAACUCCAUCAAAUCGUUUGCCUUCAUGUCUCCUAUAUUUACAUAAGAUGAGUUAAGACAAGGAGCUGUUUCCACGUAAGGAGGAGACUUCACUGGAUUUUGACACUUUAUGAACAUAAUCUGCUGCGAUAAAUCCGCCCUUUUGUAUUCUUCUGAUUCUGACCAUCGGUAUAUAUAAGUGGAAUAACUUUUCGACAGAUCGUAUAUAAAUGGAAAACGAGGAAUGGAGGAGCAAUUGUCUGGAUGGACGCCGGCAUCCACUAGUCGGAUAGUGAAGUUAUCGUAAUCGAUGGACUGAACAUAGUAUCUUCCACCGUUAAGAUUUAACACCGUCAAAUUGUUUUGACAAGAAAGCUCAUAUCUAUGGUGUCCGCAAUUCUUAGGAUCAGUUUGUAAUCGAAAAGGGUAACUGAUGUUGUGAUUAUUCCCACAUGAAGCUGCACAGUGACUUGAAUCCCUUCCGUUGCAAGUUUGGGAGAUGAGCAUGAAAACAAAGAUUACAAUUUCUCCAAUCAUGGAAUCAAGGUAGACAGAGAAUGACAGUGUCUGUGUUGAUUUUUCAUGAAAAAUUCAUCAGGCGGCUAUAGCCUAUUGCCAUUAAUCUAUUGUUGGUAGACACACAGACACAGUGCCAUUCACUUGCAAAAUGGUCCCUUUUUGACAUUUCAAACACUUGCAAGAAGUCAUCAAUAAGCUUAUCACCAUCACUGCUGUCUACAUCUUAGCCAGUCCAUGGCCUACGGCUUCUGCUUCGCUGUCUCCGUCUUUGCGACUUUGACGAUCCUAUUCCUAGUCUUUCAGUAUUUCUUCCAAGAGGAUCACAAGCUAAGCCUAAUAUUUCAUUGUUCCUUGUUACGAAAAGAUUAAAGGUUAAUUAUUAGGGUGUGACUCGAAAGUUUUAGUGUGUAUGUGUUUUUUCCUUUUUCAAUUUAAAUAUAAUUUAAGUGAAUUUUAUAAAAUAAUUAUAUAAAUAAUUUUUUUAUUGAUUUAGACUUUUAUUAUUUUCCAAAUUUUUAUUGAGAUUAUAAUCGAUGAUAUUAGUAAAUUAUUAUUGGCACUUCAUCAAUCAUCACUUGCGAUUACUGGUCCGCUUUUGACGUUUCAAAUUUAUAGUCUCUCUCGUUACUUGCAAGAAGUCAUCAAACUCAUUAUUAUCACUGUUUUCUACCUUUACUAAAUAAUUUUUAAAAUAAAAAAUUACUAUUUAAUUUUUAUAAUAUAAAAAAUUUAAUAAUUAAUUUUUUAAUUUUUAAAAAAUAUAUUAAAAUAUUUUUAUAAUUUUAAAAAAAUUUAUUAAUUAAUUCUUUCAUUAAAUUUUAACCGUUAAAUUAAAUAUUAUAAAAAUAUUAAAAAUAUUUUUUCAUAUGAAAUAAUUAUUUAAUAAAUAUUUUUAUAAAAUUAAAAGAUUAUCUAAUUAAUUUUUUCUUAUAAUGUAGAAGCUACAUAAUGAAAUAUUUAACUGUUAAAAUUUACGAAUCGUUAAUUAAUUUAUUUUUUAAUAAUUCAUAGAGAUAUUAAUAUAUUUUUUGAAAUCAAGAAAUUAUAUAUUUAUUUUUUUAUAUUAUAAAAAUUAAAUAAUAAAUUUUUCUUUUUAAAAUUAUAAAUGAUUUGAAAUAACAUUUAUGUUUUAAUUCUACGUUAUAUAAAAAAAUCAGUACAACAUAGACAUUGUGGGUUAUUUAUCUGACUUGUUGGUUUAUUUUAUUUUCACCCAACUAAAAUUAAGUAAGAGAGAAUAAUAAAUUAAAAAUUUAUUAUUAAUAAUUAUUUUAAAAAAAUUUAUUAUUUAGUUUCUAAAUUAUAAGAAAACUCAUUCCUCAAUUUUAAAAAAUAUAUUAAAAUAUUUCUGAUUUUUUAAAAUUCUACUAUAUAAUUUUUUCGUUAAUUUUAACCGCUAAAUUAAUUUCUUAAUUUUAUAAGAAAAUUAUUAACUAAUUAAUUUCUCUGUAUUGAGUUUGUAUUUUUUUAAUAAUAUUAACGAUUAAAAUUAAUGAAGAGAUUAAUUAUUAAAACUUUUGAAACCUAAAAAAUUUAAUAUAUUUUUAAAAUUAAAAAAAUAACUAGUGAAUUUUUUUAAAAUACAGCUUUAAAUGAAAAAAAAAAGAUAUAAGUCCAAUGAAAUUCAUGUAUUUCUAUUUAAUGAUCAAAUAAAAUGAAUUUAAAUUUUUUUAUCAAUUAAGUCCUUGUAUAUUUAUUCAAAGGCUAAAUAAGUACUUGUCUAAUAUAAUAUUAUUUUUUCAUAAUAAAAAUACUUUUUUAUAUAAUAAAAUUUUAUUUUUAAAAUUUAAAAAAUUAUUUACUAUUUUUAUAUAUUUUUUAAUUUUUAUGUUAAUUAAAAACUAAAAAUUUCAAAAGAUAAUAUUUUAUUAUUAAAAAAAUAAUAUUAUAUUAUAUCAAAACUUAUUUCAUUUAUUUUUUUAUUUUUUUAAAUGAGAAAAAAUAUAUUUUUAUUUAUUUUUAAUCUUUUUUAAUAAAAUUAUAAAAGGAUAAUAUGAUUAAAAGUAAUAAAACGUUAAAUCUCUCGAAUUGAGUGGAAUACAUUUAUCAUCUGAUUAAGAAUGCAAGUAUUUCAUAUUAUUUUUUGAAAAAAAUACACUUUAGUACAAUGUAUUUUCGUGCAUUUAAUAUCAAGAGUCUAAACUUUCUUUUCUUGCAAAUGAGGACCUGCACUUUCUCUUUUUGAAGUAAUCUGAGCGCAAAUAAUUAACGUUAUUCAAUUUUGUUAAUGUGGCACGAUGACAUUAUCUCUAUUUAAUGAUGUGAUGUUGAUGUGAAAUAAUAAUAUUAUUUUUAUGAUAGAAUGACAUACUAUAUACAUCAAUUUUAUGAAUGAUGUGACAUUUUACAUGAUUCUCUAUAUAAGCUAUUAUGACAUCAAUUAUUAUGUAAUCCUUAAGUAAAUUUUUUAUAUUAUAUUGUGAUAAUUUAGCAAUUACAUAAUAUUUUUUAUUAAUAAUUAAUGAAAGUUUUAAUGGUUGGGUAUAAUUAAUAAAAGUUUAAAAAUGCAUACAUAAAUUGACUAUUUUAAAGUAUAGAGUAAAAUUGUAAAAACUAUAAAGUAUAAGAUUUUUUCAGUAAUUAUUUCUAAAAGGAUUGUUUAUCGUUUUUUUAUCAUACUCUUCCAGUUUGUUUAUAUCUUAUUUAACCUUCAAGGUUUGGACUUUAUUUUAUAGGUAAUUGAGGAUAUUUAUUUUAAUUUUUUUCAUUGAAAAACCAUAUGACAAUUAGCAUCAUUAUAUGGAACUUACUUGUAAAUCCACAUCAUCAUCCUAGAUGAUGUGAUAUCAUAUGAAGAUGAUGUGGCAUGCCACAUUAUAAUAAAAUGCAUGGUACAUCAACAUUACAUGUUUAAAUGGAGAUGAUAUCAUCAUGCUACACCAAUGAAACUUAAUAUGUUUAGUUAAUUAUUUUUGUGACAUUGAAAAGAGAAAGUAUAUAUUCUCGUUUGUAACAAAAAAGUUUAGACUCUGAUACUAAACAUCUGAAAAUACAUAGUACUAAAAUUUAUCUCAAAAUUUUCAAAUUCAUGUAAAUACACUUGCUAUAAGAUUAAAUUUGUAAAUAUUUAAAAAUAAGAGUACCUCAUUUUUUUUACAUGGAAGGACUCACAUGACUCUAUAAUAAUUGAAAUCUUUAAUUUCAACUUAAAUAUUUUUUUGACAAAUCUUAUAUAGGGUUGUUACAAUAUAAAAAAAAAAAAUAAAUUGGUUCUGUUUAAAUUUUACAUAAAUUUUAGAGUUAAUAACAUAAAAAUUCUAUUUUUUAGAGUACCUCGAAUUAACUCACGUUUUAAAUUAUUUUUUUUCUGAAAUUCACACUGAUUAUUAUUAUAGUUUAAAAAAAAGUAUAAUUAAUAACAGAUUGAAAGUAAAAAAAUUACUAUUUAAGAAAAUAUAUUAAAAAUAAUUAUAAUUAUGUUAUUAUUUUGCAUUCACAGCUUAGUCUAGUGGUAAGUACAUAAUUAUUUUAUUAUUUUAUAUUAGUCUGAUGGUAAGUACAUCUGAGUAAAUCUGAGAGGAUUGACUCUCAAUCCUCAAUUUUCACUUAAAAAAAAUUAUUUUAUUAUUUUAUAUUUUAAAAAUAGAUCAUGUGAAAUAUAAUUUUAACCAAUUUUAUAUUUUAAAUUAGGAAACACAAUUUAUAUAUGUGGUUGAUAAUACACUUUUUUUUAAAUUACUAUAAUAAUUUUUUAAAAAAAAAUUAAGAAGUGGGUUGAUUUGAAAUUAAUUGGAAUAAAUUAAUGCAAUAAAUUAUUGAUAACACUAAAAAACUUAUAAUAAUAAUAUAAAUUAUUUUUUAAUAUUAUAAUUUUAAUUUUAAGAGAAAUAAUAAAAAAACUCACUAUAUUUAAAAAAUAUAUAUAAUUACACUUUAAAUUUUAAAAAUUUAUUAAUUAAACUAUAAAUUUUAAAAUUUUAACUAAUUGUAUUAUAAAUUUUGCUGCCAUGGUAAUAUAUAUCAAAUAAUAUGAUAAUUUAAUUAAUUUUUAGUAAAAAUUCUGAAAUUUAAAUGCAAUUAAAAUAAAUAUAAAAAUAUAAAUUUAAUUAAUGAAAUAUAAAAAGAUAAAAUUUAAUUACAAAUAAUAAAAAAAUAAAAUUUUUUUAUCAUUAACUCUAAAUUUUAUUAUAUAUUUCUAUCGUCUUCUUUUUCUUUUAGUCAAGUAUGGGGAUAGUUCAACAUAAGUCAUUAGUCAUGGAUUGAAAAUUAGCUCACUUUGACUUUUCAAACACCAGUCUCUCUUACAAAGUCACUACCUACCGACAAUGCUAUUCCUUAGGAUGAGAAAAGGAAAUGAAGGGAAAAUGUUCAUACAAACAAUCUAUAAUAUUCCUAUAAUUUUUGUCAUUUCAUUCUAAAUAUAUUUGUAAUCCGACCGUUUAUUAUAAAUAAUUUUAUAAAAAAAUUUAAUAAAAUUAUGAAAAAUUAUUUUAAAUAAAAAAAUUAAUUGAAUUAAAUUCUUAUAAAAUUUUUAAUUCAAAACUGAAGAAAUAUUCCAUUAAAAUAGAUUUCCAAAAACUACAUAUAAUGGUUAUAAAUUACAUAAUAAAAUGUUAACUAUUAUUUUUACCUUAAAAUUGGAUUAACAUUCCCUCUUUAAUUAGAAUAAAAUUUUGAGAAAAAAAUAUAAUUAAAUUCUUAUAAACUAUAUAUAAAUUUUUAUUUUUAAAUAAAAAUUUUUAUAAAUUAAAAGAAUUAAAAUUUCCCAAUAAAUAUAAAUUGAAUAAGGAGGAAAAAGAUAAGGAAGUGAAUGAAUUUUCAAAGAGUCGACGAUUUGUCCGAUAAAAUAAAUGAAUAUGAUGCAUUAAUAACCUAAAAAUAAAUAAAUAAAAAAUUAUUGAAGUAAAUUUCUCGCUGGGAGGGGUGGCUCUUCAUCAUUCAUCACUUUGCAAACUGGUCUACCUUUGACGUUUCAAAUUUGCAGUCUCUCUCAUUACUCGGAAGAAGUCAUCAAACUCAUUUAUCAUAGUUGCUUUUAACAUUUAUUAAAUAUUUACCUAAUUUGACAAACUAAUAAAGUAAAGAUAUUUGCACUCACAGACUUAAUCUGAUAGUAAGUGCAUCUGAAUAAAAUAUCAGGUUUUAUUCCCUAAUCCUCAAUUCUUAUUUCAAAAAAAAGUAAAGAUAUUUGUGUACAAAAAAAUAUAAAUCAUAUAUAAUUAAAAAAAUAUUUAAAUUAUUUUUUGACAAAAUAAAUUAUUUUAAAUGAAACUAAUAAAAAAUAAAAGCGAAAAAACAUCUUAAUAAUGAAAAUAAAAAAUUCAGUAUCAAAAAUAUAUUUGUUAUCAUUUAGGCAAUUAGAUGAGAAAUCAAAGUAAACAAAUUAAAGUCAUAACUCUGAAAUUUUUCAAAAAAAAAAAAAAGGGAAUGGCAAAUGCUCUCGCAUUUGACAAUAGCAACCAUGCUACCUCCAUGGAGGAGGAGGAUCUGAUUGACAGGAGUACAAGGAAAAAAGUAAAGAGUUGCCUGAUGAUGCUCCGGUUAACUACCUAGACGUGGAGGACCAAGAGGUUUUGAAUGGUGGGACAAUGAGGGAUGAUAAGGAGCCGGAGAAGCCUGAUCUCCCUAAAUCUUCUUUCAAAGACACGUUGUUGAAUCAACAUAUGGGAUUAGGGAUGCUUGUUUUGAUGAUGAUGCAAUGAGUGAAGCAUCAUGUGAAUCUGAUGAUGAGGGGGAUGCUACUUGCUCCUGGGUUAAAAUAACGCCAGAAGAAAAGAAUAGGCUCAGACAGCCUUGGUGAAACUCUUUGAUUCUUAAACUUUUGGGACGUUCGAUUAGUUAUGUUUAUUUAUCAAAAAGAAUCUCUGAGUUUUGACGUCCGAAGUCUCAUUUCAAUGUUAUAGCUCUUAAUAAUGGUUAUUUUUUUAGUAAAAUUCACUAGCAAGCAAGACUAUGAUCAUGCACUUUUGGGUGGACCUUGGAUGAUUGCUAAUCACUAUCUUACAAUAUGGCGAUGGCAUCCUGAGUUUGAUCCGUAUGCUGCUAAUGCUUUAGAACGACUUACAGACUUAUAGUCUGGGCCAGGAUUCCUUGCUUACCUAUUGAAUACUGCAAUGAUGAGUUCCUUUUGAGAAUUGGGAGCUUGCUCGGAAAACCUAUUAAGGUGGAUCGAAAUAUAAGUAUGGUGAGUAAAGGACACUACGCCAGGAUUUGCAUUGAGAUUAACAUGGAAAAACCCUUAGUGGCCAAAUUCAAGCUUCGCCGACAUGUCCACCUGGUGUGUUUCGGUUGCGGUUGAUAUGGCCAUGAAGCCGAGAAGUGCUCGGCGAGGGGAGGCUCUUGCAGUGCUGGUAAUCCUGCGGGGAAAGCCUAUGCUAAUGAUCCGAUUGAUUUGGAUAAGGACAAGGGAAGAGCAAUCCCUAAUAAUUCGAUGAUUGCCAAUUAUUAUGGGGAUUGGAUGCUUGUCAAAAAAGAUAAGAGGAAUUUCAAAAAAGUCUCUAACAAAGUCCUAGUCGACAAGGAGUCUUCUAAGGAGAAAUUUUCUACUAAGGAAAAAGGGACAAAACCUUUGACGGACAGUUCUAAUCGAUAUGCUGCUUUGGAGAUUAAUGAGCCAGCUCUUGUUGAGCCCAUAAGACUACCUCCCUCUAAUACUAUUGAUAAGGGCUCAUCCCGAGCUGGGCCGUCCUCUAGUGGCCCGCAAACUAAAAGAUUUGCCAGUAAAAACCCAGUGAGACCUGAUGCUGGAGAUACUGGGAUAGAUAUUACUUCUAUUCUUACCAAUUCUUCUUUAGUUUCGAAUAAAGUGGCUACUGUUCCUAAACCUAAAAGAGCUGCGGAGGAGACAGAACAUGUCCUUGUUUUUGGAGGAAAGAAAAUGCUUUGAUUUCUCGUACUAUUACCAACCGAGGUGUUUUUUCUAACCAUGACAACACUCAUGCAAAUGGUAACCUAGACAUUCCUAAUGCGGAGAAUUAAUUUACGCAUCCCUCUGCUCCUAAUAUUGACGAGAACCUGGAAACGAAUGUGAUUCAAGAGAUGGACAUUGUUCUGGAGACUCCCACUUGAGGGGGGUAAUGCUUUAGCCUCUCGUCUGGGGGGAGAGAUGGUCAAUUGAUGUCUUCGUGUCUUUGGUUUUGAUUGGAUUUUUUGCCAAUGGGGUUUUCUCUUACCAUUACUACUAUUAUUUUAAUGAUAGUUAUUUCUUGGAACUAUUAAGGUGCCGCCUCCCCUACCUUUCGAAGCGCUUUCUCGGAAUACAAGAGACUCUUUAAACCUGUCAUCUUCUGCAUUAUGGAGCCUAAGGUGAGUGGCACUCAGGAAGAUGCUAUUUGUGGUAGGUUGGGUUUUGAUAAUUGGAUUCGAGUUGAAUCUCUGGAUUUCAGUGGCGGUAUUUGGAUUUUCUGGACUGAAAAUAACUUCAGCAUUCAGCUUAUUGAAUCUCAUCCUCAGUUUGUUGCUUGUAAAGUUCUGCCUGUGUCUGGUGUUUUUUGGAACCUAUGCUUUAUUUAUGCUAGCCUCUAUAGCCCAUGCAGACGUAUCUUGUGGACCGACUUGAAGCUUGACUAUGUUUAUUUGAGUGAUGAAUGGAUGGCUUUGGGUGAUUUUAAUUGUGUCCCUUUCCAAUCUGAGCUUUAGGGAUACAGUACGUUUAAUAUUUCAGGAGCGAAACUUUUUUCGGAUUGGAUUUUUUAUAAUGGUUUGCUGGAUAUGGGUUUUGAAAGCUCGACUUUUACUUAGUCCAGGGGUCUGUCUUCUCAUUCCCUCCAAAGGGCUCGGCUUGAUAGAGCCCUCUGCUCCCCUAAUUGGCAAUUUCGUUUUCCACAUGCUUAUGUUACUCAUCCUGCCAAAUUUCAUUCGGAUCAUUGUCCUCUGGUGGUUUCUUUGAACAGACAUGUGCACCAUAUGGAGGGUCCUUUUCGUUUUCAGCUUGCAUGGAUGAACCAUGCAGAUUUGGGGAUGAUUAUUGGUAAUGCUUUAAAUUUAUUAAGAAUUUGGCUUUGAAUUUACGCCUUUGGAAUCAAAAUUCUUUUAGUAAUUGAUAGCGGUUGUCGAAGCCGUCAAAAAUAAACCUAUUAAUCAAUCAACAAAUAAAUUUGUAGAUAGUGGCAAUAGGGUCGAACCACAGGGAUUUGACACUACGGAUUUGACACUACGGAUUUUCCUAAUAAUGAUUUGGACAAGUAAAUAACAAACAAAUAAAAACAAAUAAAAGGAGGGGGUUUUGUUUUGAUGAUUAAAACUAAAUAGCAAGAGAAAGCAAUAAUUUAAAUAGAUGAGAAUUUCAAUAGGAGAAGGAUUUUAGUUGAAGCAUGGAUCUAUUUCAGUUUGUUUAGAAUUGAUCAUUGACUCUUUUUGAUAUUCCUAUUUAUUUCAAUAAAUUAGUUUAGGAUGUGGAAGACGCUUCUCACGAUCCAAAUUUCUCCUUAGUUUUAGUAUGAUUAGGAAACGUUCACUAAUCAAACACUAGUUAACAAGUUGCCAAGGAACGUCCUGGGGAAUUUUUACUUUUCAACUGUUAACUGCCUUAAGACUUAGAGAAACCUAAUUCUAACCUUGACAACCGCGUGGUCAAGUUUAGAUUAUGCAACUGAUUAUAUUUGAGUUUAAUUGACCUUGAAAAGGCUUAUGACUGUCUCAACUGGGAGUUUAUUGGGUGGGUCCUUAAGGAAUAUGGUUUCUCAGAUUCUUGGAUUGAAAAUAUUUUAAAAUGUGUCACCUUUGCCUCCAUGUCUGUUUUGUGGAAUGAUUCUAGAUCAGAUAAGUUUUUUCCUUUCAGGGGUAUUUGACAAGGUGAUGGGUUGUCGCCGUACUUGUUUGUCAUGUGUAUUGAAUAUUUGGCUUGUCUUAUCCAACAAUCUGUCUGGGAUGGGUUUUGGAAGCCGAUUCCUCUAUCUAGGUGGGGCCCUCUUAUCUCUCAUAUGAUGUUCGCCGAUGACAUGGUUUUAUUCGCUGAAGCAAGUUUGGAGCAGCUUCAACAUAUUAUGGCUAUUUUGGAAGUUUUCUCGGCUGUUUCGGGGCAAAAUGUUAAUAUUACAAAAUCUAGCCUUUAUGUCUCUCUCAAUGUAUCUACCUCUUUGGCUACUUCUCUGGCUAGCUUUUGCGGUUUCACUUUAACGAAGGAUUUGGAAAGUUAUUUGGGGGUUCCCACUAUGCAUGAAUGUAUUAAUAAGGGCACUUUCCGCUAUAUUCUUGACGGCAUGAAAAAAAGACUUGAGGGUUGGAGGGCUAAAACCUUUUCCAUGGCGAGUCAUACUACUUUGGUGAAAUCUAUGCUAUCUUCUUUGCCUAUAUACCCUAUGCAAUUUAACUUGCUGCCAGUUUCUCUUUGCAAGGAAAUGGAACAAGUGUGCAGAGACUUCAUUUGGCAAGGUAGUAAUCAAUCCCCUAAAGUUCACUUAGUUGCUUGGGAUAUUUUAAAAUGUCCUAGAGAUCAUGGGGGCUUGGGGAUUCGUGACUUUUCUACUAUGAAUAAAGCUCUUUUGGGAAAAUUGGCUUGGCGGACUAUGGAGAAUGAUGAUUGCCUUUGGACUAAGUAUUUCAUUAAAAAAUACUUACAGGGCAGAUCCCAAUGGACCCCUAAUGCUGCAGCCUCCUCAUCUCAUAUCUGGAAAGCCUUUUGCAAAGGUUAUGGGAGUAUUAAGGAUGGUCUUAUGGUGGAUGUUAGAAAUGGAUCCUCUACGAAUUUUUGGUUCGAUUCCGGGCUUUUCAUAGGGCCUCUUGCCCAAUUUGCUUUGAUUCCCGUUGAUGACUCGAUGGCUACUGUUAGUGUGCGGCAUUUUUGGUCUCCAUUAACAGGUUGGAAUUGGGAUGUUUUGAAAGAUUUGCUUUCGGAUAAUAUUUUGCAAUUUAUUCAGCCGAUUUGCCUUUCUAAUGUUGCUGCAAAUAUUGACUCCUUGUCGUGGAAGUGGAGUUCUAAGGGCAAUUUUACCGUUCGCUCAGCUUAUAAUACUCUCCAUGGAAUUAAUAGUGGUCAUGGAAAUCCUCUAUGGAAGAUGAUUUGGACACUUAAAAUCCCUCAAAGAGUAUCUAUGUUUCUUUGGCAGGUUGCCCACAAGAAGAUUAUGACAAAUACGGAAAGAAUUAGAAGGGGUUUCACCUCUCAAGGUAUUUGUUCUAUAUGUAAUCUUGGCCAGGAGGAUAUCUUCCACUUACUUAGGGAUUGUAGAGAUGCGAAUAAUUUUUGGAUUAGUAUUGAUGCCUCUAGUUUCUAUUUCCAUUUUUUCACCAUUGUCGACUCUACUGAAUGGAUUUUUGCUAAUUUAAAGUCUAACUACACCUAAAUGGAUGGACAACAAUGGAACAUUAUUUUUCCUUUAGGACUCUAGUACUUAUAAAAAAGAAGAAAUAAGGUGAUCUUUGAGAGUCCUGCGCAGAACUCGCCUAUGUCCAAGCAUUUUAUUUUACAGGCUCUUGAGAAUACUAAAGCUUGGAAACAUGCUUCAGGAGUAGGCCAUACUAUUUCUAGAUCGUCCACCACCUUCAUUUCAUGGUCCCCUCCUGCUAUGGGAUGGAUUGCUAUAAAUACAGAUGGUACAGCUAAGAGUUAUCCAGGACCUGCGGGUUGUGCUGGGGUUUUUAGAGAUAGUAAUGGUGAUUGGAUUCUUGGCUAUCAAUCUGCCUUGGGUACUUGUACAGCAAUUGAAGCUGAGCUUUAGGGCAUUCUUCUGGGCCUUCGGACAGCGUGAGAUAGAGGAUGAAAAUUUGUGCAGGUUCAAACUGAUUCACAGGUGGCCAUGCAAUUAAUUGAUAAAAGCAUAAAUGGAGCAGGCCGAGUUAGGAAUCUAGUUUAUGAGAUUACGACUUUGGUGGGUUAUGCACGGGAAGUUUAUUUCAAGAACAUCUUUCGCGAGGCUAACUCUGUGGCUGAUUGCUUAGCGAAAUCGUCAAUUGGAGGCUUUCUUGGGAUGCAAAUUCUGGAAACGCCUUCUAUGGAGGCUCGUUAUUACUUGCAAGCUGAUGGGGUUAUAUGGCCUCAUGGCUUUACUAUGUAAAAAAGUAAACAAAUUAAAAUUAAAAGAAAUUUAACUAAAUCAUCCCUAAAAAAAUUUACUCAUUUUUUAUUUUGAUCCAUGACAAACUAUAUAUAUAUAUAUAUAUAUAUAUAUCUUAAGUCAAGUGUUUCUCUUCUUAGAUUGAUCUCUCAUAUGAACCCAUAUUAAUUGAUAAUAGCUACUUUAUAAAAAAAUCUAGAUAUAAAAAAUAAACGUAUUUUUCUUAGAGAGACAUGUCUCUCCAAGAAAGAUGUGUGUAGCCUACCUCCAAUAGCGAGAGACCCACACUACGAGAGAUUGGUCAUCUCCUUAUAAUUAGUCAUCGGUUGAAAACUAAUCCAUUUAUGCAAUCUCUUUCAGGAACUCACCACCAAUACUGCUUAUCCCUUAGGAUGGGAAAGGAAACGAAGGAGAAAAGUCAUAUGAACAAUAGAUAAAAUUUUCAUUCAUAAUCAUUCAAUUUUGAGUUCUUUUCGUUUCUAUCACUCAAUCUUAAUUUAUUUCGAUAAAAUCACUUAAUUUUAAUUUUAUUUCAACAGAAAUCAUUGUGACUUGCUAUAGCAGAUUUCUAAGUUAUCAAGCCCUCUAUCAAUUAUUCCUUGGUUCUCACCUUAUUUGUAUUUAAUUAAUUAAUAAUUAUUUAUUAAUAAGAUUAUAUUAUUUUUAAUAAAUUUAUUCUUAAAUUUAUAAUAAAUUAUAUGAUAUAUUAAUUUGCUAUUUAAUUUGAACUUUUCUAAAUUUUUUUAUUUCAAAUUGGUGCAUAUUUAUUCAAAUUUAAGGAAAUCUUAUUAGUAAUAUGCCCUGUAAUUUGAUAUUAUUAUUCAUGUAUUUUAAAUAUUUAAAUACGUUUUUAUAAAAACUGUUAUUUAUUUUUAAUGUUAAUUUAAUUGAAUUUCGAGUAAAGAUAAAAUUCAUGAAUUUAUAUUAAUGUGCAAAACAAAUUAUAAUGUGAUCAUAAUUGUGAAAUUUCACUUGCAUUUAAGUUAUAAUAUCUCCAAAUAUUCCUAGUUGAUAUUCUUAUUAUGAUUUGACAAUAAUUAGAAUUGUUGAGACGGGUACAUAUUAUGUUAUUUUUUUAGAGGAAGAAACUGAUCUCAUAAGAUAAGAUAUAUGAAAUAUAUAUAAUUAAUAUGUAAGUGUUUAUUUCAUAAAUAAGUGCACUGAACAGACUAACAUGAGAAAUCCAUAUGGAAAUAACCUGUGUAUAUGGAUUACUCAAGUGAUGGUUGUGUAAGUGAUAUUUUGACUUGAAAUCAAUAAAUAAUUUUAUAUAUGAACUUUUAUAUUAUGAUUCAUCUUACAAAUUACUUAGUUCAUAAGUAAUAAAUGAGAAUGAAUUAGAUAUAUUAGAAACUAUAUAAAUGUGUUUAUGUGAUUGAGAUAGAUUUCAUUACCCUAGGUUAAAUUAGAGAAUGUCUCAUUUAUCCUCUGUUAGCAUUAAUCAUUAAAUCAUUUUGCAAGGUAGAAUGAAAUAAGCAAAUGAGAUUUGAAAUUUCAUUUAAUAGGUCAUGAUUAAUAAAUGAGGACUAAUAUAAUUGAAUAUCCCAGACACGUUCCAUAAAUUAAAUGUUAAAUCGGGAUAUUUCUGAUGAAGGAUAUUAAUUACACUUACAAACCAUAUAAAGGUUAAGUCAAACUUAAGUAAAACCACUUUUUGACAUUUCAAAUAUUUAGGUAGUUUUAACAUAUUGCUAGACUAUAUUAUUGACCUUCAAAUUAAUUAAUUAGUUAAUUAUAUUUUGUUGUCAAUAUAUUUGAAAUCUGAUGGGUCACACCCAUAAAUAAUUGCAUGAGAAAAUAAAACCAAAAGUUAAAUUAAGUAUGAUUUAAGUACAUAUAAAUUGAUAUUGGAAUAAAAUUAUAAUUUGAAAGAAUUAUGAUUUUGAUAUAAUUAAUUAAGUAUGAAUUAAUUAAAAUUGUCUAAGAUUUAUAUACCUCGUUUAAUAAAAUUCUAGAUUAUAGUUAUAAUUUAUUUAUUUAAUUAGUUAAAUAAAUAAAUAAAUAUUAUUAUACUAAAAGGAUAUCUUAUGAUAGCAUGUGCCUCUCUAACAGAAACCCUUUUGAGAGCUUCUAGAAUGACAUGUUCCCUUUUAUGUUUCCAGAGAAUUGUUUUUAAAAUGUUCAUAAUCAUCCAAUUAGGAUGAUAUGUUAGGGGUGUAUGUUUAUGUAUGUGAUAUGUAUGAUAUACAAUAAUAAUGCCUAUGCAUGAGACUUUAAUAGAAAUCUUAGGAUUAAAAUCUCUAAUUAAAAUUUGAAGUAAAUGUUAAGAACAUGAUGACUUAUCACCUAUUAUUAUGGCAUAAAAUUAGAUUUCGGUUUUUAUUAACUUGUUAGGCAAACUCAAAAUUAAUUUCAGUCGAAUAUGUUUAAUGCUAUGAAAUAUUUGAUAUUUUUGAACAAUGGUUCUAUUUAACUAAAUUACUUGAUUUGGAUAGGCAAAUUCAUGAUCAUGUAAAUUUAGGGUAAGAGUUAAGCAUAAUAUAUAAGAUAUGAUAAAAACAAAUAUUUGUCUCUAACUGAUCUGAGAUGUGAUUGAUAAAUUAUGUUAUCUAUUUAAUUUAAUUUAUAAUAAUUUGUUAAGUGUAUUAAUAGAUUUAGUCUGGUGAUAAGUAGUUCUGAGUAAAUAUGAGAAUUUUCAGAUUCUACUACCCGAUCUCAAUUCUCAGUUACAAAAAAAAUAAUUUGUUAAGUAAGCUCAAAGUUAUUUUAAUUAAAUGAAAUUCUAACCUACUCGGAGAUCUAAUUAUUUAUCCCUAUAUAGCAUAGUUGAUACUAAUAAAUUGAAUUAAAUUGAGAUUUUUCAUUCAGUUUAGGAGCCCUAUAAUUGUAAUAAUGGAGUAAAUUGGCCCAGAUUGACGUUUCAAACUUGCCAUUACUCAUCACUUGCAGGAAGUCAUCAAGUCUUCACCACCACACCCGUCUACGUCUCAGUUAGCUAGUCAAGUACAUGCACUUGUUUGAAAUUAAUAAUUCUCUAAAAAUUCAAUUAAAUUGUUUUUAGUAAUUUAUUUUUUUUAAUUUAAAAAUAUUCACUUUAAAAGAAAAUAUAAAUGAUACGUAAUUAAAAAAAUUAUUUAAAUUAUUUCUGAUAAAAUGAAUUAUUUUAAACAAAAUUAAUAAAAAAUAAAAGAAAAAACAUUUUAACUAUGAAAAUAAAAAAUCAAGUGUCAAAAAUAUAUUUGUUAUCAUUUAGGCAAUUAUAUGAGAAAAUUAAAGUAAACAUAUUAAAACUAAAAGAAAUUUAGCUAAAUCAUCCCUCAAACAAAUAUAUAUAUAUAUAUAUAUUUUAUGUCAAGUGUCCGCUGAAAGGAUAGAACUACGUAAGAUAGUCUCCAAUAAAAGAGAGACCCAUUUGAGUCUCUCUUGUGAUUCUAGUGAUGCCACAUGAAAUGAGAGACUCAAUAAAAGAAGAGAGAGACUUGUAUCUCCAAUAAAAGUCUCUCUUUUUUGAUUGAUUUCUCACAUAAAUUUAUAUUGAUCGUCGAUGGCUACUUUAUUAAAAAAAAUCAAUGCAUUUCUUUUAAAGAAUUUCUUCAAAAAAGACGUGUAUAGCACCUUCAAUAGUGAGAGAUCUAUAUUGUGAGAGAGAAAUUGGCCAUCUCCUUGUAAUUAGUACUUGUGACUUUUUAAAUAUGCGAUUUCUCUCAAAAAGUCACUACGUAUGCUGCUUAUCCCCUUAGAAUGAGAAAAGGGAAUAAAGGAGAAUGUGAUAUGAAAAAUAGAUAAUUUUCAUUUAUAAUCAUUCAAUUUUGAAUUCUUUUAUUUCUUUUGCUUGUUCUUAAUUUAUUUUAAUAAAAUACUUAAUUUUAAUUCUAUUUUAAUAGAAAUCAUUUUAACUCGCUAUUCUAAGUUAUCAAGUCCUCCGCCUAUUAUCCAUCAAUUCUUACAUAUUUGUAUUUAAUUAAUUGAUAAUUAUUUAUUAAUAAAAUUAUAUUAUUUUUAAUAGGUUUAUUGUUGAAUUUUAUAAUCAAUUUUAUGAUAUAUUAAUUUGCUAUUUAAUUUGAAUUUUUCUAAAUUUUUUAUUCUAAAUUGGUGCAUAUUUAUUCAAACUUAAGGAAAUCUUAAUGCCAAGAAACCAUUCCUUCUCUUGUUUUUCAAAUAAGUAAUAGAAUACAAAUAUUUAAAAUAAUUUAAUCUCUUUAGUUUAAUUCCAGUACUAAUCUCUAUUUAAUUUAAGUCCUAUUAGACAUAAAUAUUUAAAUGUAUUUAUAAAUUUAUAUUUGUAUUAUUAUCAUUUUUUUUAUUAGAUAAUAAAGCUCAAAAUUUAAUGUUAAUAAUUAUUUUAAUUAAUAUUAACUAAAACUUAUUUAAUUUUAUAAUUCAAACAUUUUUAAAAGAUUAUAAAUUAAAAGAAAAUAUUCUUUGCUGGCUUCAGCUAAGAAGCAAAAGCGAGCAAAUAAGAUUGUGGAUAUCUAAUUUUAAAAAACAGAUUGUAGAAAGUAAUGGCAGAGUAAUUCAAAAGAAAUGAGCCUUUCUUUGACUUCCUUGUUGUGGUUGAUUGUAUUCCUUGCAGAUCAUGGAUUAUGAUUUGAAGAUUGCAACACAACGAAAUGUGGGAGCUACGGCCCAGCCGUCUGGUUUCCGUUUCGAAUCAGAGGCAAGCAACCACGCCACUGUGGCUAUCCUCAACCUGAGUUUCACCUUUUUUGCUUUGAGAAGAACGAUACUGUUCUUGAGCUCACGACUUCAUGGAAACUUUUCAUACAAAGCAUUGACUAUAAUUAUGAAAUAACUAAUGAAAAGGUAAAGAGGCACUUGAUGACUGCUGAGCCACUAGUACUUGGGUCGUAGUCGAGUCUUUGUAUGAGAGUCAAUACCAAAACCCACUAUGUAAAAUGAUCCAUUAGCGCACAGCCCUAUCCCCAGUCGAGCAGGUCGGGCUGACCAGAGGCCCAGUCCCUCUAACGUGGUAGGGAAGUAGGGGAACAGGCCUAACUAUACCACGGUCCUAACAGCAUAAGCGCCGAAAGAGAAUUAAAUAGCCGCAGGUACGUCCAUACGUACAACUCUGCGUGCCACGGAUAGCACUGUAGCAGGGCGGCAGUUAUGUAUCACUAGAGGAUAAGGGAAAAAGAAAGAAUAGAGGAAAAGGGAAAAAGAAAGAAAAGAGGAAAGCGUGAACUAGGCUAAGUUUUUCCACGCACAGAAACCCUAUUUUCUAUUUGGAUCUAGGAUCAUCAAUCAUAAUUCAAGAUAUUAAAAUUAAAAAUACGAAAACACUCAUAGAAUAAUACAAUAGAAUGAAAUUAAUAAAUCUAUGAACUAAUUAAGUAUUAUCAAAUUUUAAAAAUACUACUUUAAAAUAUUAUAAUUAUAAUAAAACUCAACAUUAUUAUUAUAUUUACAUUGCAUACUAUAUUAAUAAAAUAAUAUAUAAUAAAAUAACAAAUGUAAUACCUUCUAAAUUCUGGCGUCGAAAUUUCAAAUUUCCGAUGAAAUCUUCAUUAAAAUAUAAAAUCUUGAGAUUAAAAAUCUUUAAAAAAAGAAUAAAAUGGUUUUUUAUAAAUGAAUUUAAAAUGAAUUUCUAAAGUGUUAAAAAAAAUAAGUUUUAACAAAAAUAAUUUUCAAACGCUAAAGAUGGGUCUUUGGCUUCUAAAGAUGGUCUAACCGACCCAACUAUAAAAGUGCUCAACUCGAAAAUAGAGAGAAGUUUCUUGAUGAGCUCCAACCUCCCUAAUACAUUCUUAUGAUUUCAUUAAUUUAUUUCUGCACUUUUUCUCAAAUAAAUUCCUUGGCUUUUGAAGAUUUAAGAUUCCAAUCUCUUGAACUUCAAGCUAAAGCCUUCAGCAUCUCUUCUCUUCAUUUCUUUUGGCUGUUAGAAGACAAACUUCUCUAAAAAGUAGAUUUCCAAUCUCUGUACUCACUAUUAUUCGUAGCUCAUACAUGGUAUUAAUGUGUGGGUGAAGGAUUUAAAGUAGCAUUGCUAUUAAUUUUAAACUUGAAGGAUAAAAAUCUUUUUGACUUGGAUUCUAGUAAUUGCAUGUUGUUUUUCUCUUGUGAUGACCUGGAAACUUGAAUGGGAUCUUCUGUUCUAUACCUAAAAGAAUUCAUGUUUUGCCUGUGUGUUAGAAGUAUGGGUUUUCUUUAGUUUAAACACUUUGAUUUCCUAUGAACAUGUGAUUUUAUUAUAUGCAUGUUGACCUUUCCUCUCUUUUUAGUUGCUGUGAGUUUGUGGAAGUGUUGGCAGCCAGAUUGGGUUGCUAGAUGUUGUGGUUACAAGUGUUUUUGGAGGCUGCUAAUUCAUAGAACAAGCUGUGGGAUUUUGGGAUAAUCCAUUCGGCGGCUGAACUUACAUUUUUCAGCUACCUCCUUUGGCAGCCUAAUGUGAUGCUUAACUUGAAGUUUUGAAUCUGGAUCAUGGACUUUAGAUUGUUGAAAGUCUCUUGUCAAAUCUUUUUGAGCAUUUCUUCUAUGUGUUUUGAGCUUUGUGUUUAUGGUUUCUUGGGGUAGCUUUAGAAAUAUAAAAGUUUAUAUUUGAUCUCUCAUUUAAAUCCAUCCAUGUAGGAUUAGGCUUAAGAGAUCAUUAAGCCCCAUAGUGAAGUAACUGCAUUUCCGGUACAAAGUAUAUAUACAAGAGGUGAGUAGAAUUAAACUAAGUUGAAUGAAAAAUAUAUUAAUCUCUAAAAUAAUAUAAGAAAAAGUACACUUUAGUUAUCUAUAUUUUCGCAUUUUUGCACCUUAGUGAUUAAAGUAACUUUCGUUGCAUUUCAUUUCAGAGUCUGAACUUUUGCACAGUUAGCAAUUUAAGAAUUUAGUCCCUAAUGGUAUUAGAUAUACUGAUGUGGCAUGUCGACAUCAUCACCAGUCUGACAUGGCAUGCUGACGUCAUUGUCAUAUAUGAUAUGGAAUGUUGACGUCAUCGUCAUGUCAUUAACUUUUUUUUAUGACCUAAAUACAAAAAUUUAAAAGUACAAGCACUUAAAUUACAAAUAAAAUAAAGGUUCAAUCCUUAACGGUAAAAGUGUGAAAUUUUCAAAAUGUAGGAAAAAAAAGUUAAGAAAAUAAGGAAGAGAGUGAGAAAGGGAGACAAGAGAAAGUAGUGAGAUAGAGAAAGAAAAGGGGGCAAUGGAAAAAAAAUUCUCUCUCUCUUCUCUUGUAUCUAUCUACCUACUUUACUUUAUUAUCUUCUCUUAACAUUUAUCUAUAAAAAUAAAUGAGGAAUUUUGAUAAAAAAUACAAAGUAAGAUAAAAAGGUACAAUAGAAAAGAGAGAUAUUUUCUCUUUUGCAAUGGUCUCUUUCUCCCUCUCUAUCUCACCAUAUCUCUCUCUCCUCUCCUCUCUCUUCUCUAUUUUAUUUUAUUUUUUAUACAUUUUAAAAGUUAUACAUUUUUAUCAUUAAGAAUUGAAAUUUAUUUUAUUUACGAUUUAAAAACUUGUACUUCUAAAUUUUUAUACUUAACAUAAUAAAGGGAUAGAUUGGUAAUAUGGUGAUGAUGUCAGCAUUUCAUGUCAUAUGACAAUGACAUCAGCACAUCACGUUAAACGUGGCGAUAAUGUCGGCAUGCCAUAUCAAUAUAUCUAAUACCGUUAGCCACUAGAUUUUCGAAUUGAUACCAUAGCGAAAGUUUAAAACUUUAAGAUAUAAUAAAGUUAUUUUAGUUCUUAAAAUGCAAAAAUACAAAUGAAUAGUGUACUUUUUCGAUAAUAUAUUAUUUAUUUCUAAUAAUAAACUUUUUAAAGUAAAAACUAAUUAACUCUAAAUAUUAUAUUACGUGUUUCUACUGGAUUACCCAUUUCUCUACUUGAAAAAUUUUCAAAGUUAGUCAGACUAAUAAGUGGCAGCAUCCAAUUGAGUCUAAGAUUAAGAAGCUAUUAGUUAUAAGUAAUUUCAAAUUACAAAAUUAUCGUAUAAAUUUUAAGGUUAUUGGUUGUGUAUAUUUUAUUUGUAAUAAUAUUAAUAGGUAAGUACUAGCAAAUUUCUAAAAUGAUUGACUUUCAGAAAAAUGUCUUAAUGUGUUUUACAUUGACUUUUUAAUAUCAAUUUUAUAUUUUAAUAAAGAAAAAAAAAGCCUUUUAAACUGUGAAAAAUUAAUUAUAAAUUAUUUAAUAACUAUUUAAAUUUUUUAAAAAUAGCUAUUUAAUCCGUAAUACUGUUAAUUCUUCGUUUAAAAAUUAAAAAAAAAAAAUUAAACAUUUAACCUCCUAAAAAAUAAUUUAACAGUAAAAAAAAUCUUUAUUGAAUAAAUAAAUUUAAUUUUUAAAUUUUAGUAUCUAGUUUAUAAAUAUACUUAUUUAUAUUUAUAUUGUUAAUAAAUAAAAAUAAUAAUUUUAUAAAAUAAAUAUAAAUCAUAUAAAUUUAUAAAUAUUUAAAUUUAAAAUUAUUAUAAAAUAUAAAAGAAUGAUUUACUUUAAAAAAAUCAAAUUACCUUUUAUUUUUCUUUAAUUAAAUAUCAAUUUUAAUAUUAAUAUCUCAUUUUUUUUUUGAAAUAAUAUUAAUAUCUCAUUUAAAAUUUUUAUUAAUUUAUAAGAAGCUAAUUAAUAUUUUCUAAAUAAAACUUAACUAUAGAAACUAUAAAAAUUAUUAAAAGUCAUUCAAAGCUAAUAAAAAAUUAUUAAAUAUUUUCUCAAUUAAUUUAUAAUAUUAUUUAAAUCCUAUUAAAUAUAAAAAAAAUUAUAUUUAAAUUUUUAAUAUAUUUUAUUAUUUUUCUUAUCUUUAUUAUAUAUACAUCAUAUUGAAAUAAUUGGAUUUUUUAAAAAAAACAUGUUAAAAUUUUUUAAGAGGUUUUUUAAUAUUAAAAUUUAUUUAGUUAAUAAGAAAAUAAAAAAAAUCCUUUAUGGUUUUGAUUGAUGUAAAACAUCUUUUAAUUUGCUAUUUAAAUUUAAAUGUUAAUUUUUCUAAAACUUUUAAAUAAUAUUUUAUUUAUUUUAUAAAUCUUAUAAAAUUAUUCUAUUCAUUUAUACCAAUAUAAAUUAUUUAUAAGUUAAAUUAUUAAAAUGUAAUAUUAAAAUUAUUUAUUUAAGAAUUUAAAUAAUUAUUAUGAUAUUUAUUAAGAGUUUUAUUUUUUUAUGGAAAUUUAACGGUUAGAUUUUAGAUUUUUUUGGUCAUUUUUAAUAAUUUAAAGGGUUAAAUUGAUGGUUUUAUUUAAGCGGUAUUUAAAUUUUGAUAAAAUUUUAAAGGAUCUAAAGAGGUUAUUUGCCAAUAAAAUAUAAUAAAAAUUUAUAAAUACUUAAAUUCAAAAUUUGUUACAAAAGUCUAAGUGAAUAAUUCACUUUAAAAACAAAAAAAUAAAUUAAAUUACUUUUUUCCUUAACUAAAUACCAAAUUUUAAUAUUAAUAUCUCAUUUAAAAACUUACAAGUAUUAUUAAAAUAUACAAAUGUUAUUAUUAAUUAUAAAUAAUAUUACAUAUGUAAGAUAUAUAAUAAAAGCCAUAUAAAUAUAUUGAAAUUUUAAUUUUUAUAAGAAACUAUUUUCUUAAUAAAGCUAAUAAAAGUCAUGAAAAUAUAGGCAUUGCUAACGAUAAAAAGUCAUUUAAAAGCCAACAUUUCAAUUAAUUUACAACAUAAUUUAAAUCCAUAUUUAUAUAAAAAAAAUUACAUUUAAUCUUUUUAUAUAUUUUAUUACUAAUUUUAUUUAAUAUAAUAUAAUAAUCGGUUAAAAUAAGUUAUGAGCGGAAUAAUCAUUUAUGAACGGACACUUAAAUAUAGAAUUACGUGACAAAAGUCUAGUAAGAUGAUAAUCAAUCCCAUCAAUAGAAAAAGAGACUCAUAUGCAACAUGUAAGAGUCUGGUCAGAUGAUACUCAAUCCCAUGAAAAAGAGACUCAUACGCAACAUACAAAAAUCUUGUCAGAUGAUACUCGAUCAAUAGAAAAAGAGACUCAGACGCAGCAGAUCUCGACUCUUCGCCAAAGACUCGCUCUCUUAGCUACAAGGCGAGACUCCAUGGAAAGUUACUGUUAUAAAACGCAAUCCAGCAGAUCCCCACUAUAUCUAUAAUUACGGGAUUCCUUUAUCUACUAGCCGGUGCUAUUUAGAUUUUUAAAAAUUUUGAUAAAUAACUCAAUCUUCUUAUAAUAUAUAAACUUGUGAAUACAUAAAUUAAAGUACGGAUUUUUAUAUAAUUACAUUGAAGUUUAAAAUAUCUCAUUAUACUCAUCUUUUUUUUCAAUUUAUUGAUUUAAGUAUCAGAAUGACGGCCAUAGAUACCAAUUACCUCACUUUAUUUUCUUAUAAAUUAACCAAUUGCAAUGCACUCUCAUUUUAGUCACAUUAUUAUUUUUAUUAUAUAUAUUAUUAUAAUAGUCGUAUUAAUGAUGUUUUAAAAAUAUUUAAAGGAUAUUCUCAUAUUAAAAUUUGAUUUUUAGUUAAUAAAAAAAUAAGAAAGAUAUAUAUUAUUUAUAAUUUUAAUUGAAUGUAAAUGAUCUUUUAAUCUAUUGUUUAAUAAAUUUAAAUUUUUAAAUUUUUAAAAUUUUAAAAUAAUACUUUAUUUAUUUUAUAAAUUUUAUAAAAUUAUUUUAUUCAUUUAUAAUAAUAUAGAUUAACAUAGUUUAUUUAUAAAUUUAAUUAUUAAAAUAUAAUAUUAAACUUAUUUUUUCAACGGACUUAAAUGAUUAUCAUGAUAUUUGUUACUCUCUUUAAUAUUUUUAUUUGGAACAUAGACUUUUUGUUGGAACAUAGACUAUCAUGUUAUAAGCUUUAUCCUGAAGAUUUUGGACUUUUUAAUGUAAUUUUUAAAAAUUUAAGGGUCUAAAUGGAUAAUUUUAGGGAUAUAAAUUUUGAUUAAUUACUCAAGGGUUUAAAGAGUUAUUUUUCCUUUUAUAAAUGUUAGAUAAAAUAUAUUUAAAUAAAUAUCUAAAAUUCUGAAAUUAUAUCUUAAAUAUUUUCAAUUUUCAUAAAAAAAAUAUUUAUUUCUCUAAUUUCAAAUUGUAAAUUUAUAUUUUUAUGACUGUAAUAUCAGAAAUUUUUAAACUUUCAUCUAUAAUAUUGAUAAAAAGAACUUCAUGCUAUAAAAUGUUAUAAAAUAUAGAGCCUUAUAAUUUAUAAUUUACAAAUAAUCUUAGUUUAUAUACCCUAGCUAAUAUAGCCUUGUGUGUCAGAAAAAGGAAGUUAACAUUAAUUUUAAUUUGUUAAAGUUAGAAAUUAAGAAAACUAAAAUUAUUUUGUUUAAAAGAAAUAAAAAUUGAGUUUAAACCAGCUUCAACUUUCGCAAAAAACCAUUAGAGGUAUUUUUCAGAAAGAAAUUAAAUCUCUAUUUGUCAGGAUUUAUUUUAUAAAAAAUGAAUUUAAAUAAAUUUUUAUAAAAUCAUAUAAGAAUUCUUUUUUAAAAUAAAAAAAAUUAAAUUAAAAAUUAAAAAAAUUAUUAAAAAAAAGUCAAUUAAAUUGAAUUCUUGCGCAAUUUUUCAUUCCAAAUAGAGGGUAAGCGAAUCGAGAGUGACUUCAACUUAUGUAGAGUAUGGGUUGAAACCGGAUUUGCAUAGGGUUCUGGCUGAGGAGGAGAUUGUUAUGGGCAAAAAAUUUUUCGCUUGAGGGUAAUCACAGUACCCUUUCUCCAUGCUCAGGUAUCAGUGAGACGACAAAUAAAUUUUAUGAAACACUCUAGGAUUCUGAAGAACGAUGGUGUUGAGAUAAGCAGGGCAUGGGUAAAGAAGUAGUGGCUGACUAUUUUCAUUGUUUAUUCUCCAAUCCUAUGGAUUCCUAUAAUACUUUUUUGCAUGUUAUUGAUUCAAAAGUUUUUUCUGAGGCUAUGCCAAGUUUGCUGCUUCUUUUACUGCAUAAGAAUUUAAAAAUGCUAUUUUUCAAAUGCAUCUACAUAAGACUUAUGUCCCAUAUAGCAUGAACCCAGCUUUUUAUCCAAAUUAUUGGAGUAAUUUUGGGGAUUCAAUGGUGCAGAAUUCUAUUCAAUAGCUCCAAGCAGGUUAUUUCCUUGAUACUCUUAAUGAUAUUAUAAUUGUACUUCUGAAUGAAUUAUUACUCCCCACAUAUGCUGAAGUGAUUGCUCAUUAGAUAAUCUCUCAUUUUAAAAAAAUACACUAAAUAUAAGUGAGAAAAAUAAUUUAAACUUUAACAUUCCUGCAACCUUAAAAAAUAAAAUAAAAGAAUAACUCUAUUUUUUAAAACAAAGAGAUUAAUUAAUAAUUUUUUUUAUAAUAUAAGAAUUAAAUAAUAAUUAUAUAGUUAUAUAUCUCUGUAUGAUCAAAAGAAAAUAAAUAUUUUUUUUAUAAAUUUUUUUUAAUUUAUUAUUUUUUAUUAUAUAUUUUUAAAAAUUAAGAGAUCAACUAAUGAAUUUUAUUAUAUUAUAUAGGUUAAAUAGUAAAUUUUAUUUUAUAAAAAAUUUAAAAUACAGUUAAUAUAAAGGAAAUAAUUAACAAAUAUUUUUACCUAACUGAAAUAUCAACUAAUGAAUUUUUUAUAUUAUAAAAAUUAAAUAAUAAAAUAUUUAAAAAUUAAAAUUAAUAAAAUAAUUAAUUAAUAAAUUUAUUAAAAUUUUAAAUAGUAUUUAAUCUAUUUUUUAAAAUUAAUGAGCUAAUUAAUAAGUUUUUCAUAGUAUAAGAAUUAAAUAGUAAUUUUUUUAUAAUAGUAAAACAAAAAUAUAAUUAAUUGAAUGAAUAUAUAUUAAAAAUUAAAUUUUAUUGAUAAAAAUAAAAUUUUAAAAUUAUUAAUAAUAAUUUAAUAAAAAUUAUAAAGAAAUAUAAUGAUUUGAUAAAAUUUAUAAAAAAAAAAUAAUAUUUGUAGUUUCAAUUUUUCAUUUUUUUAAUUUUAAAAAUACUUUUUAAUGAGUAAUAAAAAUAAAAAUAAAACACUGAACAUGUUUUUAAAUUUUUUAUUAAAUAAAAAAUAGAAAAUCACAAUAAAAAUGAACGCAUUCUUAAUUUAUAUAAUUUAAUAUAAUUACUUAUUUAAUCUUUUUAUUUUAAAUAUAUAUCAAUUAAUUUAUAUUUUUUAAAUUAUUAAUUAUUUAGUUUCUUUUAUAAUUAUAUAAUUAAUAAGUAGUUAUAAUUUUAAAAUUAUAGGGAUUGAGUAAUUAUAAUUUUAAUAUUUUAAGGAUUAAAUAGAUAAUUGUGUUCUGAAAUUGCAGAUAAGAGUGAUAAGAGCAUCUUAGCCAUUUCAAAUACUAACAAUGACGCAAAUAAACAUAAGGAUAAAAUAGUUAAGAGUUUCCAAAGACAUGGAUUAGUUAAUAUAUUUUCAAGCUAUGGGAUUCAAUAAUGAUUUGGACUAAAUAAUAAUUUUUAUUUUAAAAAACCCACGUACUCAGCCGUUGGUAACCGUCGAUAACUGGUCCCAAAUCGUUCCAUUCAAUUUCAAAAGUUUCUGUGCAAAUGCAAGUUUCAGGUAUUCUCUCUCACGAUCCAUCAUGGCAAUUCGUUAUCUCAUUCGUAUCUUGGGUUUUUUUUCCCUCUUCUUCCCCGCAUUUGAAUCUUCAACCUCAGGUACUCAUGGAAACCUUUCCUCUCUGAUUAUCACUUGUUUGAAAAAUUCGUGAAAAAAUCCUGUAAUCUAUGGCAGAUAAAGCAAAAGUUCCAAAUUUCGCUUUCAGUUGGUUAAAUGACAACAACACAUUCCAAGCUGGGGAUACUGCAGCCAUAAAGAUCAUAGUACUGGGAGAGUUUGACAGUAAAGGAAAUGCUUCACUUGAUAAGAAUGCUUUCAAUCCUACACUCACAGUGAAUGGGAAGAAAGGAAAUAGUUCUUUCGUUUCUGGGGUUUUCCUGGAUACUGCAGGGGAUACCAGUACCUGGAGAAUUACUUUUGCUCCAAUCAGAGUUGGGGUCUUUAAUGUCUUCAUCAAUGAUGAUCCUUUCAAAGUAUUUGAUUCAUCUCUCCAUUACGAAGCUCUGCCAGGUCCUAAAUGCAAUCUUUAGCAUUUAACUUCUAUUUUCGCUUAUUUAGAUAUGUAAGUUAGAACUUGUUUGAGGAAAAAUGUUUUCCCUAGCAAUCAAUUUGAGCCUGCAAUCUAUGACAGAAGGAUUUUGUUUUGUCUUCCAUUUUUAUUUUGGCUUUGUGCUCUAUCUGGGUUUUACUAGUUGUUUUGGANNNNNNNNNNNNNNNNNNNNNNNNNNNNNNNNNNNNNNNNNNNNNNNNNNNNNNNNNNNNNNNNNNNNNNNNNNNNNNNNNNNNNNNNNNNNNNNNNNNNNNNNNNNNNNNNNNNNNNNNNNNNNNNNNNNNNNNNNNNNNNNNNNNNNNNNNNNNNNNNNNNNNNNNNNNNNNNNNNNNNNNNNNNNNNNNNNNNNNNNNNNNNNNNNNNNNNNNNNNNNNNNNNNNNNNNNNNNNNNNNNNNNNNNNNNNNNNNNNNNNNNNNNNNNNNNNNNNNNNNNNNNNNNNNNNNNNNNNNNNNNNNNNNNNNNNNNNNNNNNNNNNNNNNNNNNNNNNNNNNNNNNNNNNNNNNNNNNNNNNNNNNNNNNNNNNNNNNNNNNNNNNNNNNNNNNNNNNNNNNNNNNNNNNNNNNNNNUCUCCACUUCCGUUGAAAGUGAAUCCAGGUGAUUGUGCUGUAGCUAGUCAUUUGUUCAUAGCUUGUAUUAGAGGGAUUCUUUUUGUAAAUAAGAGUUAUUUUUUUCAUGAAUUCACCAGUAAAUCUUUCUCAAGGUUUUCUUUCUUGAGAUAUUGAAAUUGAUGAGGUGUAUUACAAACUCACAGUACCAACUCAACAUUGUCUUGAAGUCCAUUCUUGUUAACAUGCCACAGACGGUUGCAUUAUUUCUGUGAAUUGGGGUGCUUUCUCACUUUGUAUCAUCAGUUUCUACGUGAACUUUGACUGUGAAGGUUAAUUUGUACAAGGGAAGAGAAGGGGAAAAGGGGAAAACUCAUUAGUGUCAUAUCCAAAUUGUGAUGCAGAUACAAAAUAGCUCCCAAGCCCAUGUUGAAAAUGUUUCUGUUGAUGCUGUUUGACAUGAGCUAACAUGGAAUUUAAGUUUUCUCUUGUAAAAAGCAUGACGUAAUUCCCUUUUUCUUUUUGACUCUUUAGAACCGUCUUUUUCCAGGUCCUCUAGACAUUUCCAAUUGCCUGCCAAAAUGGAAGUUUGAGACAAAUGCUUGGCAAAUAUUUUCCAAAAUGGAAAUUUUUAUACAUCAACAAGAUCAGUAUGGGAACCUUGUUUCUGGACUAUAUGAAUUUGAUGCUGAUAUUGUUGAAAGAGAGACAAAUCUGACUAUACCAGUUGCAGAUUUGCACUUUGAAGAUGUGGUUCCAGGAAUACAGUUAUUCUCUUUCAGUCUAUUAGAACCGGGAAACUUCUUGCUCACUAUAUCUGAUUUGGAGCAUAAUAGAAGCAUCUCCAAUAUGCCGUUUGCUUAUACUGUCUUUAUAGGUGUAUAACAUAUCUGCUAAUUAUUUUUUUUUGGAAAGUCUAAUGAUGUUAGUGUUGAGCUCUUGCUUUUAUCUACCCUACUCCCUCAAUAUUUCUUUUCCUUUUCCCUUCUAGAAUGCAACAAAUGUUUGGUCUACUAGUUAUUGAUUAUGGCUGUUGCCAUUGGAAGGGAGGCCAAAUUAAGUUUUGAUUCUAGUAGGUGACAAGCAGUGCUUGAUGCUAUUGCCUAUAUAUAUAAUGUAACUAUUUCUUUCUGAAAUCAUCACAAUAUUAAUUAUGUUUCAAUUUAACAGGUUAUUGUGAUGGAUCAGCCAGCACUGUCAACGGAUCUGGUUUAAAUGAUUCCAUUGCUGGUGAAAUUUCACAGUUUUCAGUCUAUUUGUUUGACAUUUUUCAAUAUCCUGCUUUCGUUGAACUAGGAAGCAUUAAAGUGCAGAUUGUAAGGGAAAAUGAUUCCUAUUAUGUGCAGCCAAGCAUUGUUCCAAUCAUCAAUGGUAUCUGAUAUUAUAAUUUCUUUCCUUUUGAUGAACAAUUUUAACAGUGGUUCACAAGGAGGCAUGCAUCUCUUUCACAGGAAAUGGACCUGCUCAAGAACUCAGCCAGACAGAAAUUUCUCCAGCACCAUCUGAUGUUACAAUGAACAUUGUAAGUUGUACUUAAUUAUUUCUUUCAGUCCAUUGUUGAGAAAUCUGACAUUCUUUCCUUCUUCUCUUUGAUUCAGUCUGCUGGACACUUUGAAGUUGCAGCCAGUGUUUUUCAUGUGAUUUAUACUGCUGAGAAGAGUGGGAUAUAUGAAAUAUAUGCAUUUUGUGGAAAUAUUUUACUGAGUGGUGUUCAAUCAUUCAGAAAGGAAGUUAAAGCAGGUUAGUCUUAUAUUUAUGUUUUGGGUUAGCCUCACUUUUAAUUUACAUUUCUUCCUUUCAUCUGUCACUAGUACCACGGUGAAAGCAUACAUUUAAUCAAAAUUGUGAUCAAUUUAUGUCAAUUAGAGAUUACUGAGAGAUGAUUUAAAAUUAAAUUUGAUGUUUUUAGCCAUAGGAACACUAAAACUAAAAAACAAGAUUUUGAAACAGAUUUUUCAAUAACAUCUAAAAAUUGGGGGCUUUCUUAAAAAUUUAGCCCUGCAACGACAAUGUCAAGCAGGCACUAAAGCUUUAGAAAGUGGAAUUGAGUUUUUGAAUGUGUAAUAAUAAGGUCAAUUUGCACUUUAGUGGUUGUGAACAAAAUGUUUCCUUUUAUUUUUAUAGUUAAUCAAAUAUCCACAACUUAAUGUUUUAGAUAUUAAAAUGCAGAUAAGAAACAAACUGUUUGGACUAAUGUAUGAUUUUUCACAUUUUGUUAAUUAGUAUGGGAAUAGAAUAAUUUUCAAAAAAAUUUGGUAUUCAAGCUAACUUUGCACUUGCAAUACAAUCCAUAGUUUUCAAAAGUGGUUUGGGUUGGGUUAACUUGGAACUAAACCACUGGCAUUCUGGUUUCAAAAUAGGUUUCUUUCUACUAAUGAAAAUAGAAUUCUUGCCCACUAGGGUUUUUGAACUCAAGACAUAAAAUUUGUGUUUUUUUCCCUUUCCAUCUAAUCAACUUACAUCCUUAGUGUAAGCUUGUCAAUAUUUUUUUAAAAUCUUUUACAUUUAUAAUAUAAUUCUUUUUAAUCUCAUAUUGUUUUUUUACGAAAAGUAAAGGUGUACAAUUGAACUUCAAGAUGGUAAAUUAUUAGUUUUUAUUUCAAUGUUUCAUUUUGCAUGUAUGGUUGCUACUUGCUAGUUACUGCUUCACUGGUGUAGUUACCUUCUGUUUUUCCCCUUCUUGUUUUAUUUUUUUUAAUUGUUUAAUCUAUAAUAAUGGUUACCCCAUAUAAUUGCGUGCAGUUUCUCCCUUGAUUUUUUACUAAAUUUUUUCUUGCUUUUCAUAGGUAAGGUUGAUGUAUCUCUUUCAAAAAUUGUGAAAUUUUCUCCCAAGGUGCCAAAGCUGAUUGAAAAUGAAAUGUGGGUGCAACUAAUGGAUUCAUUUUCUAAUCAUGUCUUGUCCCAACAGUCACUGCUAAAACUAGAGAUUGCUGUAAAUAGGUCUGGUUUUUCAACAGAAAUGUUUGUUGAUAAUAAUGAUGGGUCAUAUACUUGUCAAUAUAUGGCUAAGGAUGUUGGAACCAAUGAGAUGUGUGUUUCAUUUGAUGGCUUACAUCUCAUGCCCUGCCCCUUUGGAGUCAAUGUGUAUGGUGGUAAGUUAUAACUAUGUCAAUAUAUAUUAAUCUCGUCAAUACAAACAAACUAUCAUUAAUUUAAAUGCUUUAUGAUUUGGUGGUACAUUUAGUAUAGCAAGAUGAACUUGAUUUGUCCUCAUAGCAUGGUGAAUUUAGGAUGUUUGAACUUUGUUAAGUUUUAUAGAAAACUAUUAUUGUAAUUCUAAGAAAAAUGCCAAAGCCAAGGCUAUACUUGUAGAGCAUAGUGGAAUGUUGCAACUAUAAUACAAUGGAUUAUUUGAUUGCCUCACAUUCCAUUCCAUUUUAAGAUAUAUAACCGAUAUUCUUAGAUUUCUAACUAGUAAAAAUGGCAUGAUUUGAUUUGUUCAAGAAAACCAUAAGACAAUAAGGGGCCAUAAAGUUUGUGCUAGGUUCAGAUUAAGAUGGUCAACUCUUUUUAGAAUAUUUGUUUGAUCCAACAAAAUAUGAUCUAUUAGAUGGCCAAAUUAAUUUGCACUAAUUUGUGAGUGCAAUAGCAACUUUGCUAAAAAGAGAAGUAUUAAGAUUAUGGACUUAUAAGAAUGAUAUAUACAACAACGUAAUUAUGAGGCUGUCUCUAUGAAUGAAGUAAAAAAGUAAAAACAGGACCAAAGGGGGUUUAUUACUUAAAUAAAGGAGAUUAUCAAGACUAAGUAUUAUAAAUAGUAUUAUUCUUUUUCCCUUUUCCAAUUGCAUGUAAGAAGAUCCCCAUUACGUAUAGGUUAUUUGGUGAGAUAUUUUAUGUUUAUUUUUUAAAAAUUAUGAAAUAAGUGAUUUAUCAUUUUGAACAAAAUUGAUAAAAUUUACAGAUAUAGUUUUUUCAAUGAGACAAUGAGACUUUUCAGCACUUUUUCCAUGGCAGUGAUGUAUUUGUGAUUAUCAAAGUGGAGAUACCAAAAAGCUUUCUUUCUUUUUUUUUUUUUUUUUUUNNNNNNNNNNNNNNNNNNNNNNNNNNNNNNNNNNNNNNNNNNNNNNNNNNNNNNNNNNNNNNNNNNNNNNNNNNNNNNNNNNNNNNNNNNNNNNNNNNNNNNNNNNNNNNNNNNNNNNNNNNNNNNNNNNNNNNNNNNNNNNNNNNNNNNNNNNNNNNNNNNNNNNNNNNNNNNNNNNNNNNNNNNNNNNNNNNNNNNNNNNNNNNNNNNNNNNNNNNNNNNNNNNNNNNNNNNNNNNNNNNNNNNNNNNNNNNNNNNNNNNNNNNNNNNNNNNNNNNNNNNNNNNNNNNNNNNNNNNNNNNNNNNNNNNNNNNNNNNNNNNNNNNNNNNNNNNNNNNNNNNNNNNNNNNNNNNNNNNNNNNNNNNNNNNNNNNNNNNNNNNNNNNNNNNNNNNNNNNNNNNNNNNNNNNNNNNNNNNNNNNNNNNNNNNNNNNNNNNNNNNNNNNNNNNNNNNNNNNNNNNNNNNNNNNNNNNNNNNNNNNNNNNNNNNNNNNNNNNNNNNNNNNNNNNNNNNNNNNNNNNNNNNNNNNNNNNNNNNNNNNNNNNNNNNNNNNNNNNNNNNNNNNNNNNNNNNNNNNNNNNNNNNNNNNNNNNNNNNNNNNNNNNNNNNNNNNNNNNNNNNNNNNNNNNNNNNNNNNNNNNNNNNNNNNNNNNNNNNNNNNNNNNNNNNNNNNNNNNNNNNNNNNNNNNNNNNNNNNNNNNNNNNNNNNNNNNNNNNNNNNNNNNNNNNNNNNNNNNNNNNNNNNNNNNNNNNNNNNNNNNNNNNNNNNNNNNNNNNNNNNNNNNNNNNNNNNNNNNNNNNNNNNNNNNNNNNNNNNNNNNNNNNNNNNNNNNNNNNNNNNNNNNNNNNNNNNNNNNNNNNNNNNNNNNNNNNNNNNNNNNNNNNNNNNNNNNNNNNNNNNNNNNNNNNNNNNNNNNNNNNNNNNNNNNNNNNNNNNNNNNNNNNNNNNNNNNNNNNNNNNNNNNNNNNNNNNNNNNNNNNNNNNNNNNNNNNNNNNNNNNNNNNNNNNNNNNNNNNNNNNNNNNNNNNNNNNNNNNNNNNNNNNNNNNNNNNNNNNNNNNNNNNNNNNNNNNNNNNNNNNNNNNNNNNNNNNNNNNNNNNNNNNNNNNNNNNNNNNNNNNNNNNNNNNNNNNNNNNNNNNNNNNNNNNNNNNNNNNNNNNNNNNNNNNNNNNNNNNNNNNNNNNNNNNNNNNNNNNNNNNNNNNNNNNNNNNNNNNNNNNNNNNNNNNNNNNNNNNNNNNNNNNNNNNNNNNNNNNNNNNNNNNNNNNNNNNNNNNNNNNNNNNNNNNNNNNNNNNNNNNNNNNNNNNNNNNNNNNNNNNNNNNNNNNNNNNNNNNNNNNNNNNNNNNNNNNNNNNNNNNNNNNNNNNNNNNNNNNNNNNNNNNNNNNNNNNNNNNNNNNNNNNNNNNNNNNNNNNNNNNNNNNNNNNNNNNNNNNNNNNNNNNNNNNNNNNNNNNNNNNNNNNNNNNNNNNNNNNNNNNNNNNNNNNNNNNNNNNNNNNNNNNNNNNNNNNNNNNNNNNNNNNNNNNNNNNNNNNNNNNNNNNNNNNNNNNNNNNNNNNNNNNNNNNNNNNNNNNNNNNNNNNNNNNNNNNNNNNNNNNNNNNNNNNNNNNNNNNNNNNNNNNNNNNNNNNNNNNNNNNNNNNNNNNNNNNNNNNNNNNNNNNNNNNNNNNNNNNNNNNNNNNNNNNNNNNNNNNNNNNNNNNNNNNNNNNNNNNNNNNNNNNNNNNNNNNNNNNNNNNNNNNNNNNNNNNNNNNNNNNNNNNNNNNNNNNNNNNNNNNNNNNNNNNNNNNNNNNNNNNNNNNNNNNNNNNNNNNNNNNNNNNNNNNNNNNNNNNNNNNNNNNNNNNNNNNNNNNNNNNNNNNNNNNNNNNNNNNNNNNNNNNNNNNNNNNNNNNNNNNNNNNNNNNNNNNNNNNNNNNNNNNNNNNNNNNNNNNNNNNNNNNNNNNNNNNNNNNNNNNNNNNNNNNNNNNNNNNNNNNNNNNNNNNNNNNNNNNNNNNNNNNNNNNNNGUUUUAGAAGAAAUAUGAAUUCCUGGCUGCUUAAAUGAACCAUUCAUCUGUUCAUGGACUUAUUUUUCUUUUCUUAUUUAUCUUUUUGGAGAAUAGGGUGGAGAAAAUGGUGCUGUUUUGACGUUGAAAGUAAAUGAUAUGGGAAAUUAUGGUUGUUAUUCUGAUUGUACUGACAAUAUCUCAAUGCCAUUGCACGUUAAGGCUACUGUGAAUCUUAUCCGAAAAAGGCCAAUGAGUUCAUUGGCAGUUCACAGUAAGUAACAAUCAUAUAUAUAUAUAUAUAUAUAUGUAUAUCUUGCUUGUAUUUUUUAAUUUUUUUUAGCCAAAGUGCAUCUAUAUUAAGUUAUAACUCAUAUCAAUUUUCAUUAUGCUGGUGCAGCCCUUGGAUCAGUUGUUAUUAUUGAAUUUCUUAUGGUUCUCUCUUUUGGAGUAGUACUUCUAUUCUUCACAUGUAAAUGUGCAAUUCUUCUUGUAAAUGAAAGAAGCAGCUUCAAAUUCCAAAACUCUAAGCAGUCUACUCUGCGAAAUUUUCAGAAGGAAUCUGUAAGUGAACCAUAUGUAUUGAUUUUCAAGUGUAUUUGAGGCAUUUUAACGUGAACUACACUUAAGUUCCAAUGUUGGUUGAAUUAUCUUACGCAGUCAAGUGCUGAUUUAUCUGAGAAAACAACUGACUUAACUGGUGGUUGUUCUCGAUAUCUUUCUAUUUACCAUCGAACUUCCAGCUUUCGACAACGGUAACUAGCUUUUGACAAAAGAAACAUUUUGGUAAUGGGUUCAUAGCUAGGAUAGAGAAAGAAGUUUUGAGUUUUUUUUUUUUCAUUGUAUAUUUUGGCUUCACUAACAUGCGCUUUUUACAAAUGUGCAGCUCUAGCCGUCACUCUGAACUAGCAGAAUCUGGCCAGGAUAUACAUAGCCCCUCUCAAUCUACUAAAGGUCAUCAUCUACAGGCUCUACCUGAUUUUAUGCCACUUGCUAUUGAGAAGGGCUCGUAAACAAGUUGAUCUAUUGUCUAAAAUUAAACCAUUUGAUGUGGACAUUAAUGGAAUUGAGAAGGUAUUUCAUUCAAUUACAACUGUGUUUGCAUCCAAAGAUUUGCGUAUUUAGAAGAUGAUUUAAUUGGAACAUGGCUUUUUUCUUCUUUUCCAACUCUGUUAAUAAUGAUAUUCUUUUUACUGAAGGCUAAUUUUAUCUUCAAGAAAAAUUUUCAUAUAACAAAACUAGGGUUGUUCAAUUCUCAUUCUGUAACUGGUCUUGGUAAGAAUCAAAAUCGCAACUAAACCUUCAAUUUUUUGCAAUAUAAGUACGGUUUUAGUUCAGUUUCGAUUCUUAUUUUCGCUUUUUUAAAUUUCAAUUUUAGUUUAAUUUUAGCUAAAAUUUUAUUUUUACAAAUAAAAUUACAAUAAUUUUACGUUUUAUUUUAAAAUAAUAACAAAUAACAUCAAAAUAAUAAUAAAAAUAAAAAUACUAACAUUCAAACAAUAGUUUCAGUUUCAGCUCAAAUUUUAUAUUUACAAAUAAAAUUAUAAUAUUUUUACAUCUAUUUUAAAAUAAUAAAUAAAUAAAAUCAAAAUAAUAAUAAAAUUAAAGAUAUUAACAUUUAAAUAAUAGUAGUAUUAAUAUUAAAAUAUAUUAUAUACAAUAAAAAUAUUAUAUUAUUUUAUAUAUAAUUAUUAAUUAUAUAAUUUUGAUUAAAAGAUUCAUGGGUAAUUAAUAUUUAAGGAUAUGUUAUAUUACUAACAUAUAAUUCAUAUAUAUAAUUAAAAAUUAGAAAAUAAUAUUUUUAAUAAUUUAAUGACUGCCAAACACCAUUAGCAUCUACGGCUACUCAAAAGUAUUGAAUUAUGUAGCGACUCUGAUAGACUGAUUCGUCCCUCUUCAACUACUCAUCUAUCAACAGCUUAUGUGAGGAAAAUAAGUUUUGCUAAUUUAAUCCAAUCAUUUGAAAUUUAUUUUUUUCAAUUUCAUUUUGUACAACCACCAAACUAUAUUCAUUGUUUAAAAGUAAGACGCAUAAUUUACAAUACUAUUAUCGUAUUUUUCAAUAUUUCUUUUAAUCAAGCCACUCAGCAGCUCCUGUAGGACUGACCAAUUAUAAAAGAGAAAAGCUGUAAGACACCAAGUGAUAUAGCUGUAGGACCUGAAGGUCAAUCUAUAACUGCAAUGGUGGCCCUAUGAGCUAAUCUAUAGGGUACCUCGUUGUAGUCCCAAGUCCAUAUAAACUGUAGCGCAGUACUCUAAUACAAAUGGCAUGAAAUCCCCUUAUGCUGACUUUAGACUCCUACUACUAAACUUGAUGAAUAAUUUAUAUAAUAACUCUCUUAUUAAAUUGCAAAUAAAUCAUGUGUAUUAGGCACACUUAUACUUUAUCCAUAUUUGAUUUUAAAAAAUUGAGCAUUCUUUUUAUUCAUACCAAACAUUACAUUUGUUCUCUUUAAAAUCAACUUUAAAAAAAUUAUACUUAUAGAUUCUCACUAUAGGAAUAAAAUAGUCCAUAUAGCAAAUCACAUUGUUACUUGUUGGUUUUUGAGAGGAGAGGAAAAAGCUAUAUAAUGAUUUUGUUAUUUUACUCGUUAAAACAUGAUACAUAUGUAGGAAAAAUAUAACAGAAAAUCUUAACAAAAUUAUCUAUUAAAUCAUAUUUAAACUCAUAUAUAAUAACUUAAAAUUUAAAUUUUAUCCUAUUUUCAUAUCAUAAUAUAUCAUCAACUUUGACAGCAUCGACAUUGGUAUAUGUCGACAUCAAUAUUAGUAUAUCGGCAUGGGCAUUAACGUCUGCAUCAACAUUGAUAUUGUAUUUUUUGAGGAGUUCUUCAUUUUCUGACGUAGCUAUCUUGGAUUUAUUGGGGUACUAAUUUAUUGUGACAUAUGCUUAUUGUGGCAUGGAGGAACCUUUAUUGUUUUCUAACUUGAUUUUUCUUCCUAUGGUAUUUUCUGAUGUUCCAUCUCUUUCUUUUUUUUCUCUAUUUUUUCUCAUCUUGUAUUUCUCACAGGCCUUUAUAAAAUAGCACUGAUAUCAAUUGUUGAUUUUUGAGGGGAGAGAAAGAAGAAAUAUAAUGGUGUUGUUAAUAAUAACUUAAAAUUUAAAUAUUAUCAUAUCUUCGUAUCAUAACAUAUUUUUUUGAAAGUAGAAAAAGCAUAUUUCAACAUUGUCCACACCAUUUGUAAAUCAACAAAAUAAGUAUACAAAUUCAACAAUACAACAGAGUCAUAUGGAAGGUAGGUUACUGUCUCAUUUUGCAACCUACUUUUAGAUAAAUUAAGUGUUAAAUCAAUUCUUGUUAUUUUAUGAAAAAUAUUCCUUCACGUCUCAGCUUCCUAAAGAAUUAAAAAUCAUCACAUCUUGAGCUUUGUAGCUCAGGUUAUAGUUAAUUAUUCUCAAACUGUUCACAAUUAAAAAUUUCAGUCUCAGUUUUGGUUUUUUGGCACUAUAUCCUGCUUUUAGAACGUUCUCUUGAAUUUUUUAGCAUGAUUAUUCUUAAAAUCUUUAGAUCUAUUCUUAGGUUUCAUUUGGCUUUGGAAUUUCUUUAUUUGGAUAUUGUCAGUCAUGUUAUGAAUAUUUUUAUACAACCUGUCUUGUGACUCAUAUCCAGAAAUUUGACGUUUAUUUUAUAUUUGUACACACUAAAACCCAUAUAAAAUUAGAUUAAUAUCUCUUCUAUGAAUUUUUAUUUCUAUAUCUCAGAGUUCUAAUGGUUCAAGAAUAAGAUCAUUUAGAUAUUUUUACUUUAGUUAUAAUUUAAUUUAUACAAAUUGUUCAAAAUAUAUCUCAUUUGACUUUAGUUUUCAUGUUCCUUUUACAGCCCCAAUUCAUGGUAUUUCCCCAUAAAAUUUAGCCUUAGUGUUCAAGGUUAAAGACAAUUUGGCAAAAUGGCCUUUUACAAACAUUUAGGUUUAUCUCCCAAGUUUCAUAUGAGUCAAAUUUCACGUUAUUUAGACAACUCUAGCUCAAGUUAUGUCAUAUUUACUAAAAUUGGUCACAGGGUAUCAAAGUAGCAAAAAAUAUAGUUCAAUCUCUAUAAAAAAAGUAUCAUGCGAUUUCACUCAUUUUCACUUCGUAAUCUAUAGUUCAAUCUGUAUUAAAAUAAUAUUUAUAGUAUAAUACCGUUAGCAAAUAGCAUUAAUUUUUUAAUGCUAUCAAGAAUUACUAAAGUGAUAAAUAAAAUAUAAUUGUUAAUUAAAAAAGAAAAAGUAUAAAAAGAUAUCUUGUGGUUUUAUUCAUUUUUAUUUCAAAAUCUGUAAUUUAAUUUAUAUUAAAUUAGUAUAUCGAGAUAUAUAAUUUUUAUAUUAAUAUUUGUUACAGCAUCUAAAAAUUGCCUCUAUUUGCUAAUGCGGAUACUACAAAUACUAUUUUGACACAAAUUAAAUCACAAAACACUUUUUUUAUACUUUCCUCUCAUCUUAACAUAUGUUCAAUAGUGACUUUGUUUCCUUUUAAGUGAGCACAACUAUAUAAACUUGUAGCUUCCUAGUUCACCUCUUUUUUCCUACCUUUUGCUUUGGUGCUUUGGUGCUUUGGUUAUCCUCUCCCUCUAUCAAAUUCAGCAACAAAACAGUAAUUUAAACUAACUUUUAAAAAAAAUCAAAAUAUGAAAUUCAAUCAUGUCACUUUUAUUUUAUUUAAUUAGUAUAUGUCAAUUAAUUGAAAAAAUAAUGAAGAAAAAUCUAUUAAAUUUUUAUUUAUACGUAUACUAACAAUUAAAAUAAAAUUAUAUUUAAUUAAAAAAUUUAUCAUUAAUAAAAUUUUGUAAUAUAAUUAUUAUAUAAUAAAUUAUAUUAUUAAAAUAAAAUAAUAAAUAAUUUUCCCUUAAAAGUUGCAUUUGUUAUAUAGUUAUUUAUUGGGUGUAAGUAUGUCAUUAGUAUUCUCCACAGAGGAAAUUAUGUAUAUAUAGAAAGGGUUUAUAUAUUAAAAUUUUAGAUUUAUAAAUUUAUAAAAGAAAAAUAAAAGAAUAUAAGUGUUAAAAAAAAUAUAAUUAGUGGUUGAAAAAAAUAUAAAAAAUAUAAGUGUUAAAAAAAUAUUAAAAAAUAUAAUUGAAGCUAAGGAUUUUAUAAAGCAUUAAAGAAAGAAAGUUGAUAGAUAUUUGUAUUUAAGAAAUUCUUGUAUAAUUUGAUUAAUUUGCUUGAAAAAAAUAAUUAAAGAAUUUAAAGUGAUUAAAAUUAGACUAAAAAAUAAUAAAAUAUUACAUUUGAUAUAAUAUCUUAAUUCUCAUGUUUUAAUUUUUAAAAAUUAUUUAAAAUUAUUAAUAAUUUUAUCUAUAUCCACUAAAUUUUAAAAUUUAUUUCAUUUUUAUCACUAAACUUUAAUUUAUUUCAAUAAAAUUAUUUUCACUUUAAUUUUGUUUAAAAAGAAGUGAAUUUAACCUACUAUAACAGAUUCCAAGGUUACAAUAUGCAAAAAAUAAUCAUUUUCUGUAUUUUUUUUCUAAGUUUCUUCAUUUUUCCAUUCCUUUCAUAAUUCAUGUUUAGAGAAAUUAAAAUUUAAUUAUUAAUAAAAUUGAUUAUUUUGUCUAAAAUGAAAUCUUAAUUUAAUAAAUCUAAUAAUAUUUUAUUUAUUAGUUAUAUUUUAUUUUAUCCAUUUUACAAUUAUUAUUUUAGUGUUUAUUAAAUUAAUUUUGUCUUAUUUUUCUAUAAUUAAUAAAAGUUGCUGUAAAUAAAAGAUUUAAAUAUCUCAAAUAUAAAGAUAUGAAAUAUUUUUAUAUAAUGUAUAAUAAAGUAGUUUAACAAUUCUGUUAUCAUUUGGUUGGUUCGGUUUAAAAUUGAACCGAAAUAAAUAAAUUAAAAAUUAAAAUUUUAUUAUUUAUAAAAAUCAAACCGAAUUGAUUUUGAUCAGAAAUCAAAUUAAAUUGAAUCGAUUUGAUUCGGUUCGAUUUAAUCAAUUUGAAUUUUUAAUAAAUUUUUUAUUUUUACAUUUUAUUUUUAAUAUUUUAAAAUUUAAUUAAAAUAUUUUAAAUUUAAUAUGAUCUAAUAUUUAUAUUAUUGAAAAUAAUAUAUUAUUAUCACUAAUCUGUUCGAUUAAAUUUUUUUUUCCUGAUCAAAAUUGAACCGAACUGAAAUAACAAAAAAUUUUAAAAUUAAAAUCUGAACUGAAAUGAAUAAAAAAUUAAACUAAAAUUUUAAAUUAAUUUAAUUUGUUCGAUUUUUUUCGAUUUGAACCAAAUAUUGCUCUAUCCUAUUUAAAAUAUUUAAUAAUUAAUGUUGAAAAUGUAAUUAGUUAAAAAUUGAUUAAAAAUCAUUAUUCUUUUAAAAUAAAUAAUAUUUAUUUAUAUCUAAUUACCUGUGCAAUUAAAUAAUUACUUAGCAUUAUUUAUAAUAUUCAACAAUCAAUAAUGAAAAUUUUCAUUAAUUUUAUUUCUAUCAAAUAUUUAAUAAUUUAUUUUAAAAAUUAAUUAAUUUUUAUAUUUUACUAUUAUCUUACUAAAAAACCUUAAUAAACAUAUUAAUAUUUAAUCCUUCAUUAUAUGUAACAAUAAAUUUUUUAAACUCUUAUUUUAUAUAUUGAAAAUUUUUUCUUUUAUUUCUAAAUUAAAAUUUAAGUACUAUUUCAAAAAAAAAAUUAAAAUUUAAAUAAUCAUUUUAAAUAGCAAGUAUAUAACAUAAUUUAAUAGUAGAAUUUAAUAAUAAAAAUUUAUUAAAAAUAAAUAUUUUAUUAAUAAAUAAUUUUAUCAAUUAAUUAAAUAUAAUAGGUGCGGAAGAAAUAAAAUGAAUAAAGAAUUCGUAACUUGGAAACCUGCCACACUAGGUUAGGGUAAUUUUUUUUAAAUAAAAUUAAAAUUGAAUGAUUUCAUUAAAAUAAUUUAAAGUAGAUAAAAAAUUAUCUCCAAAUUAUACCUACGUAUGAAUGUCGGACUAAUUUAAUUAAAAUUUAAAUAUUUAUAUUAAAAUAUAAAAUAAUAUAAAGGUUAAAUUUUUUUAUUAACUAACCUAUAAAAAUAGAAAAAAUGAAAUUAAUAAAAGACAGAAAUAAAGGAGUAAUUUUAUUAUUUUAGUAUAUAGUAACAAAAACAACAAUAUUAAUUUUUGUUGUUCCUCCUUAAUCGGUUCUUAUCCGUUAGGCCAUUUCCAACACUGCACACUAUUUUUAUAUUAUUUUAAUAUAAAAUAUUAAAAUAAUACAAUAUCAUCUCUAAUUUUGUACAUUAUUUUUAAUAUAAAAAAAUAUUUUAUUUAUAUUCUUCACUUUCCUUAAUAUUAUAUUAUUUAUUUUAUUUUAAUUUUAUUUAUCUAUUUCACUCAAAAAUUUCAUUCAUUUUAUAUAUACAUCCCAUAUAUAUAUAUUUUAUAUUUUAAUUCAAUAUUCAAAUAUUCAAUUAUAUUAGAGAUAAAUAAAAAUAUAUUAAUUAUAAAAAGCAUUAAUUAAAUAUUAAUUAUAAAAAUAUAUUAAUUAAAUAUUAAUUAUAAACAUACAUUAAUUAAAUAUUAAAUAGCAAAAUUCAAAAUAAAAUAGAGUCAUACAUAUUAAAUUAUCAAUAAAAAAAAUACAAACUAAUUUAGAUGAUCAUUUAAAUUCGUAUAUUGCUCCAACAAAUGCUAAAUUAAUGCAUUAUAAAGUGCAAAAUGAGCAUUUUUAUUCUUAAUUUUUUUAUGUCAAGCUAAAAAUUGUUAGAAUCGAGUAGUUUUAUCGACAACCAUUUCAACGGUUGGAGCUGAAAAUUCUCUAUUGUCUUUAAUAGGUGCACUAAGGUCAUGUUCAUCAUCGAUUAUCAUAUUAUGCAUGAUAAUACAUAUAGUUAAUAUAUCAUGCAAUACUUUUUUUUUUCUAAAAACGUGAUGGCUCUACAACUAUUGCAAAACGUGACUGCAACACUCUGAAAGCACGUUCAACAUCUUUUCGACAUGAUUCUUGUUUCAUUGCAAAAUACCUAUUCUUCUUUGUUUGUGGUUCACGAAUAAUUUGCAUCAGAUUUGACCAUUUUGGAUAUAUACCAUCAGUCAAAUAAUAACUCGUAUUAUAUUCUUUUCGUUAAAUAACAUAAUGAGCAGGAGGAGCAAUACUUUUAGUAAGGCCGAAAAAUAAAUGCAAUAUCGUUAUUAGAGCCAGGCAUUCCAAAAUAUGUAUGUCAUAUCCAAAUGUCAUAAUCAGCUACAACUUCUAAAAUAAUUGUUGGUGAUCCACUACGACCUGUAUACUAGUCAGUCCAUGCAAUAGGACAAUUUUUUCAUUUCCAAUGCAUGCAAUCAAGACUACCUAACAUUCUUGGGAAGCCACGUUGGUCACCAAUAUAAAGAAGCCUAGCAACAUCCUCGGCAGUUGGUGAUCUCAGAUACUGCUCACCAAAUACCUCAACGGUAACUCGAUAAAAUCUCUUUAGAUUGUCAAUUGCAGUGGACUCUCCAAUUUUCAUAUAUUUGUAGGUAGCAUCCACCGGCAAACCAUACGCUAACAUUCGAAAUACAACUGUGAUUUUUUUUUAGAGUAGAUAAUUAAAUUUUACCUACUGCAUCUCUUUAUUGUUCGAAAUACGUAUCAUGCACUUUUAUUACAUCGACAAUACAAAGGAAUAAAUUUCGAAAUAUUCUAUAUCAUCGACGAAAUAUUACAUUAUUGAAGCGUGGAUUAUCUGAAAAAUAAUUCAGAAAUAAAUUACGAUCAGCUGCUUCAUGAUCUCAAUUAAUUACUGGAAGACUUGGAACAGAGUCACCUCUAGAAACUCAGUGUUGAUCUUGUAUUUGCUGCAAAACCAUCUUAUUUCUAAGAAAUUGUUGAUUAACUGCUUGUGCUUCCACUUCAAACUCAUUAUCAUCUGAAAUAUAAUCAUCAAUAUCUAAAGAAGAUGAUGAUGAAUUUUCAGCAUCAUUAUUUGAUGUAUCUCCAACAUAGAAAUCCAUUUUAAGUAACAAUCUGUAGAAUUUUUUUGACUCGAAUUUAAGAGGAACUAGAAAAUAUGAGUUAUGUUGAUAUCUUAGAAGAAUACAUUAUUUAAUAGGAAAAUGUGGGGAUAGAGAUGCAUACCAUUCGAAGGUGGAGAUUGAGAUGAAAUCCAUCCAACGGUCGAUUUUAAUAUGAAAUCUAUCAGGAUACUGUUGGUUUAAUUAUUGUUUAAAAUUUUAUUUGACUUUAUUGAAAAAUGUGGGGAUAGGGAUGCAUACUAUCCAAAGGUGGAGAUUGAGAUGAAAUCCAUCAAAUGGUAAAUUUUAAGAUGAAAUCUAUCAGGAUACUGUUGGUUUAAUUAUUAUUUAGGAUUCCAUCUGACUUUAUUGAAAAAUGUAGGGAUAGGGAUGCAUACUAUCCAAAGGUAGAGAUUGAAAUGAAAUCCAUCCAACGAUCGAUUUUAAGAUGAAAUCUAUCAGGAUACUAUUGGUUUAAUUAUUGUUUACAUCUGACUUUAUUGAAAAAUAUGGAGAUAGGGAUGCAUACUAUCCGAAGGUGGAGAUUGAGAUGAAAUCCAUCCAACGGUCGAUUUUAAGAUAAAAUCUACUAUGAUACUGUUGGUUUAAUUAUUGUUUAAGAUUCCAUCUGACUUUAUUGAAAAAUGUGAGGAUAGGGAUGUAUACUGUCCGAAGGUGGAGAUUGAGAUGAAAUUCAUCCAACGGUCAAUUUUAAUAUGAAAUCUAUCAGGAUACUGUUAGUUUAAUUAUUGUUUAAGAUUCCAUCUGACUUAUAUAUAUUAGAAUGCCAACAUUUACAACUUACAUAAGUUAGCCAUACCCUUUAAUAUUUAAUCACUUUGUAAACUAUGACUUCAAGAUCUGUAGAAUAUUCUACCAAUGAAGAUGUGCUAUUAUGCAUAAUUUAUCUAGAUGUUUCACAAGAUCCCAUUAUAGGUAAACAACAAUCUAGUCAACGCUUUUGGAGUCGGGUGGCGUAUGAAGUUGCAAAGAAUGAGUUUUGGGAGUCCCGCAACCCACGAUCUUUUCAAUGUCGAAUACAAGUUAUUGAGAAGGCUAAAAGAAAAUUGAACGAUUGUCAUCGACAAGUUGAAAACUUACAUCCUAAUGGUGCUUCAGAGCAAGAUCUGGUGAGUAUUUAUUUGGUUAUUACUUUGUAUAUAAAUCUUAGAAUUUUUCUUAACAUUUUUCAAAUUAUACAGCUCAAUCAAGCAAAAACUUUACUCAUGCAAGAUUCAAGCUACAAAUAGAGAUUCAAAUUUGACCAUGUUUGGAGCAUGAUGAAAGAUGCUGAGAAGUUCAAAGAUAGUAGCUCUAAAAAAAAUAGUUCCAAAUCAAAGCUCUUCUUAUGUGUUCUCAGAGUCGGACAAUCCUAUUCCUGACUCACCUAUGGUACCAUCUUCAAACUUAUCAUCAUUUUCAAUUCAUUUAAAUGAGGAUAUUACAGGAGAUUAUACAUCAUCGGAUCGACCUCUUGAGGUCAAAAAAGCAAAAUUGAAGAAAAAACUUGAUGAAUCUUUUUCAUCCGCUCUGAAAUGCUUACAUGCUGAUAAUGAAAAGCUUGUGGCAUUGUUGGCGAACGCAACUGCAGAAAGGGAGAAGGGAAGGCUAAUGAAAAGCAGAGCUUUGGACUUAAAGGAAUUUAAAAAAGAAAAUAAAAUUUUACCGCUCGAUUUAAAUUUUAUUUCUGAUCCAAUUGCUCGUGAAAUGUUUCGCUAAGAAAAAAUUUGAAUAUUAGAGAAAAGAGAUCAACGUCAACAACCACCACUGUCAUCCGCCUCAUGUGUAUGAUCAAUAUCUCAAUGAUAUUGUUGGAUCCGGGUACGACCUACCAGAAUAUUAAAUAUUUAGUGUAUUGUUGCUGAUUGUAUUUUCAAUUAAUAUAUAUUGUUCAAUUAUAAUAUAUGUGUCACUCCACUUAUACUAUAUAAUAUAUUAUAAAUAAAUUAAUUUAUUAUAAAUAAUAUUUAUAAUUGAGAAUAUAUUAAUUUAAAUUAAAUUUUUAUAAUUAUAAAAAUAUAUUAAAAAAUAAAAAUAUAAUAUAUUAUGAGAGUGAAAAAAUAAGAAUCUAAUUGAAAAGUUUUUAAUAUUUAAAUAGUAAGGAAGAACUUUUAUAAAAAAGACUAUAAAGUUUUGUACUAUAUUGUAAAUUAAUAAAAAAUUAAAAAAAAUUAAAUAGCAUUGUUAUAGUGUCAUGCCAAAUAUGGCGUGAUACUGUAGCAAAACACCAAAAUCCCGCUGGAUUUUGGUGUAUGGCCUCCAACGCUAAAAUAAAAUUUAAUGCAGCGUGGGAGAUGGUCUUAGUUUGUAGUUACUUUGCUUUUGAUUAUAUCUUGUUUGUUUGAGAUUCUCCAUAUUUUUUCACUUAGCAUGCAAAUAUUUAGGUUCGAAUCGUUAACUUUGAAAGUUGAGUUAGUGGUAUGUGACAUAUUAAGUUUUUCUGAAUUAUUAAUAAAAUUCAUAUUCUUAUAAAAAAAAUGUGGGUGCAGCCGUUGGAUCAGCUGUCAUUAUUGAAUUUCAUACAGUUCUCUCUCUUUUGCAGUAAUGCUAUUUUUCAUAUGCAAAUGUGCAAUUCUUAUUACAAAUGAAAGCAGCUGCUUUAUAUAUAUAGCUCCUCUCAAUCUAUCAAGUCAUUAAUGUGAAUUGGUGGUUUUAACCCUUAAUGGAAAUAAGUAGUUCUCUUUGAAGAGAGAGUUUUGAGUUUCCUGAGGUUUAGCCUCAUCUUUUUCGAGAGUUUUUAUCGAUUCUUUAUCUUAGUAGGAGGUUUCCAUCUAUCUCUUCGGGUGGAGAAAAUUUUCUCUCAUGCUCGAUCAUUUUCUACUUUUUAGUUUUUCUUGUUGUUUGUGUUUUGAAUAGAUUUAGAGAACUCUCCUCGUGAUCCAUGCAGUGCGUGGUGGUUCGACCGAUGUGUCCCCUCUCUCUUUAUACCUGCCUUCAUAGCUUUGCAACCGUUCCGAUGAAGGCUUAUUUCCUUGCCGUGGAGUUGAAUUUUUCUAUCUUCUUUCUUGUUUGGUUUUUGGGAUAUUUCCCUAGUAUCUCAGUAUGUUUGCAUAUCUUUUUUGGCCUAUGAUUUGCGAGCUACUCGUCAAUCUUAUUUGAAGCCAACAAUGAUGAGCUUCUCCAACAACUAUAGGCGGCGGUGCUUUGCUUCCAAUCCGGUUGGAUGGGUCAUGUAUUAUGGGUUAGAGUUCUAGGAUUUGUUCUUAUGUUGGGCUUCCGUCUAUGGCCUUAGAAUCCUAUUUUGUUAUGGUUUGUAGGCCUUAGGCUCUUCAAUCAAUGAAAUUUCUUAUUAUUGAGAAAAAAAGCCAUUAAUCUUAUGUAAAUGUAUUAUCAUUAUGCAGGACUAUUAUAAAAUAUCAUCAAGUCAUUAAUUAACUCUAGUAUUUAGGGCAAUUUAAAAGGAUACAAUAGAAAGAACAUUUAUGUUUCACCUUUUAAAAUGGAAGUCUACUCUUUCAAAGAGUGAUAUCUUAGCUUUUCCAUGUAAAACUAAGCAUAAUAUUUCCCUAUUGUGUCCUUUGAUCUAGAUUUUUAAUCGAUCUUCUCGAUUCUGUAAAAUCAUUUGACAUUAAUAAUAAUUCUCGCCAAUUUGUAUUUACAGAAUCUAGAGGAAAUAAAGUAGGUCUGGGAGGUACUUGUAGGCUUUCUAAAUCUCCUUCAAGCAUCUCUAUGACUUUGUUCAUAGCAGGAUGAUCAAAAGGUUGAAACUGUACACACUAUAAUCCUAUUAUAAUCAUUUUCCUUGCUUUUAUUUUUUCUUCCUCUGUUAUGUCUUCUAUCGGUAAAUUUCCACUAGACAGUUGGUCAUGAAGCCGAUAUGGACUAUAAACUUCACUUAAACUUUCAAUAACUUUAUUAUUUUCUUUCUUCCCUCUGUCUGCUAUUUGUAACACCAAUUGUCCAAAGCUAUACACAUCUGCUUUAUAUGAAACACCCCCCAUAUUCUUGUAGAAUAGUUCUGGAGCCAUAUAUCCUUCUGUUCCCCCUUUGACGGUAAGAGAUGCAAUGCUCCCUUUGGUUGGGUAAAAUUUUGCCAGCCCAAAGUUAGAAAUCUUUGGAAUGAAAUUUUCAUCUAGCAGAAUGUUAUCAGGUUUGAUAUCAAAAUGAAGGAUUUGCAUAUCACACCCUCGAUGUAGAUAUUCAAUACCAUAAGCCACUCCAAGA